rnacentral:lncRNA from 1 species
UACAGUUAUACCAUAUUAUUUAUAACCAGUUAAUUAUUAUUAUUUUUAAAAAUAUAAAUUUAAUAUAAAUAUUUUUUUAAUUAAAAUUAUGAUAGAAUAGAUAAAUUUUAAGAAUACAUUUUAAUUGACUGAAAAUACCACGUUAGUAAUGUGAUCGUCAUAUUCUAAACUUUUUUCUUGAGUGGGACCCUAUAUAUUUAGUACUAUUGAUAUCCCCUUUUUAAUUAUUUUUAUUAUUAUUAUUUUCAUUUUUUACCAUCGAUGAUCUUCUUUAAUUAACUGGGUAACUGGGGGAAUCGGAUCCUCGUUGGCAAAAUUCAUAUCUGCACCAACUCGCUUCAAUGCUGGAAUUUAUUGUCACCACCAAACUCAGAAACUCGCAAUAAAAACAUGGAUACGACUUCCAACCGCCCAGUUGGUUCGGAAUCCAAAGAAUUGAAUUGAAGGGAAGAGCCAUAUAUAUAUAUAUUUUAAAAUUUGUUAUAAAACAUAUAGUAUUUAGUGUAUUAGAAGUGUUGCCAAAUAUUCAAUAUCAGUAAUGUAUUCGAACUUCAAAUUAAUUUUUAAAAUAAAAUAAAUUAUUUUUAAAGUAAAACAUAUGCUAUACUAAUAACUUAUAUUUUUUUAAAAAAAUUGAGAAAUAAAAAUUCAUUUCUAAUUGUCAAUCAUAUAUAUAUAUAUAUAUAUAUAUAUAUAUAAUAUAUAUUUAUAUAUAUAUAUAUAUAUAUAUAUAUAUAUUAUAUAUAUUUAGCUGAAUACUAUAUAAUAGUAAAACGCUCUUUUGCUAUAUCAAGUUUUUAAACCUUUGGAUGAAAAAUUGUAAGAGUCAGAAUGAUAUUAGUCGGUUAGAGUUGAAUGGUCCCCCUAGGGUUAAGUGGUCCCCACUGGGUAUAGUAUUUUUUAAUGGUUAGAAAUAUGAAAGAGUUGAUCCAAAGGCUAAAAAACGAUAGCACAAUGAUUUUGCUAUAAAUAGUAGCCCAGUCCAACUAAUAUAUAUAUAUAUUAUAUAUAUAUAUAUAUAUAAGAGAGAGACGAGGAGAGAGAGAGAUGAGGAUGAGAGAGAGAGAGAGAGUCCGACUUGGGUACUAUCGAUAGCACAACAUUUUGUGCUAUCGAGUUUACCACCAUUAAAUUUAACCUUUGAUUAAUUUUACACGUUAGAUUAUACUAUUCAACAACCACUCAUUCAAUCAGAGGAGGCUCACAUAUUCCUAACCACACAUCUUUUAAUCAAUGGCAAAAAACUUAAGCCACCAGUCAUUUGGUGCUACUUAAUAAUAUUCCAGCCUAGUUCUAAUAUAUAAUAUAUAUAUAUAUAUAUAUAUAUAUUAUAUAUAUAUAUAUAGGUAGAGCUAGAAUACUUUCAAAAGCACCAAUGGCGUUGGUGUUUUUGAGAUUUUGCCUUUGGAUGGAUAGAUAUAGGGUUGAGAUUGUUAGUAUUUUGAUUUUAAAACAAGUGAUUUAAAACUUCUUUAAAAGCCAUAUGUAUUAAGACUUAAAUUUGAUCUUUGGACUUUGUGGGCAGCCCAUGUCAAUGGGCCUUGCCUGGGAGGCCCAAGCUUUGGUCUCUUUUCAUGUGGUGUUUAGUCCCACAUUGAGAAGAGACCCUCACUUGCUUUGGUUUAAUAUACUUCUUUAUUCUCAUUGUUAUUACUUGGGAAGUGAUGAGAGUGGAGACUCUCGUCUAAAUACACGCACGCGCGCACGGCACGAGCACGAGCGGGCCGGGCGGCGGCGGCGCGUGAACCGCGGUUCACUUUAUUUUUGUUACACUUUUCAUUUUAUUAUUUUAUUUUUGACCUACCUGGAUUAGGUCAUAUUUGGUCCAGUCGACAGGGUCGCACCUCGGGACUCACAGCCCAACGGUCUACUCGGAAGGUGGUUUCCCGUUGGAACUCUUCUUUUGCUCUCAUAUUUACUAGGGUGAGUGGCUGGGUUAGGUUAGUAGUGACAUACAGAACCCUAACCGAGCUCUCUCCCUUUUCUCUCUUCUCCUUCUUCUUCACUGUUUUGCUGGAUCUCUGAAAGCUGUGACGGUUCGUUCUUGCACCACCUGACAGCGUGCGACGGGUGGACGAAGGUCGUUGUAUCGCUAGGAGUGAUUGCCGGCGCUCGUAGUGGAGGGGCAUCUUGCUUCUAGGACAGUGCAAUCGCACGCCUCGACUCACAGGCUCAUCUAAUCCUUUAUCUCUAUAGUUUUUAUUUAUUUCGUCUUAAUCAACGUUUUCAAAACAGUGGCUAAGUUGUCUUCAAACAAAAUUAUUAUAUAAAUAUUUGACUAAAAGUUUCGAAAUAGAGAACUACUUUUUCCAACAAUCUAGAAGCAAUGAUUUUAUUUUCUCUUUCUGUCUUUUUAGUUUACUGGUAAUACUAUUUGGCUGUAGGAUAAUAUAUAUGUGCAUGAACUAUAUUGCUAUAAUUCGGUAUUAUAUAAAUCUAAAAUAUAUGCAUGCUGUUUUUUAGGUUUACUUGAAAUACUGCUGAUAGUUAGAGAUUGUAAUUACUGCUAAUAUAAUUAUAUAUUUAUCUGCAUGAUCAUACUGUUACCAACAUAUUUAGAAAAUUUCUGUUAUAUCUGUAAAAACUUGGAACAGUCUUGUGAUAUUAUUUUAGGAUUACUUGAAAACAGAUUUGUCAUUAUGGAGGACUCGUAUUCGGCGAAGCGUUCACUUUCAGAUGGUCGUAAUUUAAGAGGUGGCGAGAACAAAUGAGGUUCUGGCUCACCACACUUGCUUGUGUUCUGCUAUCUCGGAUCCUUCGAGAAUAGCAAUGCACCUUCAGGUGCAAUCCAGGCUACGGGAACCGACCGUUUAUAGGAGCCAAGCCCAAGCCGGAUCGCUCCUCCCCCCAUCUGAAAAUGUAACUGGCACAUCCACCUAUAACUGUACUCCUGUAGAUCCUAACGUGAUAAACUAUCAUUGCCUGAACCGGAUUCUUAGUACCUAUCUGAUAAAACUGUAUGACAUAUUCGUGUAGUGCCCAAUCAGCUAGGAAUUUGGACAUCCUUAGAAAAUAAAGUUGGUCAGGUUGAUCCUACUCAGAAGAGAUACCAAGCUUCAGAUCUGAUUGAAUUCAAUUAGUGGAUAGUAAACCUAUGUCUGACCAGCUCCAUGAUUUUGAGUAUAUUGUUGAGCGCAGCUUAGAUCUAGUGGUAUAAAUCUUGAUGAGAGUUUUUUUAGUAGCCACUCUUAUAGAUAAGUUGCCACCUCCGGUACUAACCAUGGCAAAUGAUUUUAACCAUAACGCAAAGAGAGCUUUCCCUGAAUUAUGUCCUAGAUCCAUUAGGAUAGAAGAGUCGAACCGAGCCAAGGAUAAGAAACCUACUGAACCCUACCCAACAACUAGUAGAGAAUCCUAAAAAUAAGGUAGAACUUUCAGCCUCAUAGGAACUUUAAGAAGAAGCCUUUCAUCAUAAGAAAGUUCAACCCAAACUUUUAAGAAGCCUAAACCUGAUGGGAGUGGGAGCAACUCUGGUUGCUUUGUGUGGGGCGGGAAGACCAACCACUUUGGCGAAGGAUUGCUAUUUUCGCAAGACUCGGCCUUCUGCACCCAAGAAGAAAGAGAACGGUCCACUGGCGCCAGAUGAAUAUGUUGGCUGCUGGACCUGACUCUUCUGUCUCAUACUUCAGGUUAUGGAUCUAGUUUAGCUGAAGUUAACCUACUUUAGUUCUUCUGAUGGUUGGAUAGAUACGGAGCAAAUAUUCAUGCAUGUUCUGAUCGCUCUGGUUUGCCACUUAUUCAGGACUCAUGUGGAGGAUCGGUGAACAUGGGGAAUGCCGCUCUUCUCCGCGUGCUUGGGACGGUCGAGUGGAUUUGAGACUUGACUUCUGGGAAGACCCUAACCUUGCACGGAGUCCCCAUGUUCCCGAUAUUAGGAAGAAUUUGAUUAGUGGUUCUCUUUUCAGUUCAGCAGGGUUUUUGUUAGUUUUUGAUGUAUAUAGGGUAGUAUUACUAAGGGUGUGGAUUCUUGUAGGAAAGGAUUGAGUGAUGGUUUGUUUUAAGUUAUCUGUAUCUCCUCCCCUAUUAAAUGAAAGUGAGCACUUUGUUUUUGAAUGUCGUUUCAACUGAGAUUUUGGUCAUGGCAAGACUUGGGACAUGUGAUAAAUCAUGUUAAGAGAUUAAUGCAUCUAGAUUUUGAUUCGCUAAAUCUGAUUUGUCUAAAUGGUAAAUGUGAAUAUUGUGUGGCAGGCUAAGGAGGCCUAGAAACACCUUUUAAAUCAGUAGUAGAGAUUGUGAAUAUGUUAGACACUUUGUGCAAUAGUGAUGUUUAUGUGAUGGAACUAGACCUAACUAGAGGUGGAAAUAAAUAGUUUGUAGACUUUAUAGAUAGAAUUAUUCGAUAGUAUUGUUAUGUUUAUUUGGCAUCAAGACAAGACUAGGUUUUUGAGCAGAUCUUAAAAUUUAUAAAGCUGAGGUUAAAAUCAAUAUAGGGAUAAAAAAUCAUCAAAUUUGAGAUCUGAUCGAGGAGGUGAAUUAUUACUUCAAAUGAGAUGACGUAUUUCAUGUCAAGGAAUUUGGAAUUGUACAUCAACAGUGAUGCACCUUAUACAUCCUUCAAUCUAAUGGAGUUGCUUGCAAAAAAUUACGAACUUGAUGGAUAUGGAAUAUCUCUGAUGAUAUAUCUAGUUCAGGUGGCACCCGCGAAACUUGUGGGGGACAGCUUGAUUCUGCAUAGUGUGAUUUUAAAUUAGAACUCGUCCCCAAAGAAUUCUAAUAUUUCUCCUAUAUGAGCUUUGGAAGGUAGGAAGCCUAAUGAAUUAUUGUUAAAGUUGUGGGGGUUGCCUAGCUAAAGUUAAGAUUACCUGAAAAAAGAAAAGGAAGAUUGGUCCUAGACUGAUAGAUAAAUUUUUAUAGCUAAUCUUUAGAUAGUAAACACACAGAUUCUAGUGUGAAUUCUGAGAUUAGUGAGAUUCUAAAUAAUACAGUGAUUGAAGCCAGAGAGCAGUGUAUUUUGAGAUUCUUUCCUUUAGGACUAGAGUAGAUAGAACCUAUGCCAGUUGAGCAUGUAGGUCGCUCUAGUGUCCUAGAGUUAGUGAGCCUAGCAGUAGAGGUUGAACUAGGAGAAGUAACGUCGUAAGAGUAGAGAAAACUUGUUGGAGAUUGAUUUUUGUGUCCUAUCGUUGAUAAGAUACUUCCUUCUAUCUUUUGACCAAGCUAUGAUUCUGUAGAUGCAAUCUUUUUGAAAGAGGCUAUUAAUCUGGAUGCAAUUAUUCUACGAAUAUACUUGGGAAAUUAACAGAUUUAGCCUAUAGAUGUAAGCCUGUAGGCGUAAGAUGGACUCUUUAAGAAGAAGUUGAAGACCUUGAUGUUCCUGUAGAAAAGUAUACAGGACUAGACUAGUGGCUCAAGGUUUUUGCACGAGAAGCCAGGUGUAGAUUAUUUUGAUGUGUAUGCACACUUGUUGCUAGAAUUACUCCAUUUAGGAUAUUGUUGGCCUUAGCUUCUGUCACGAGUUUUGAUUGUGCAUCAGAUGGAGGGUGUUAAGACAGCUUUUCUUUGAAUGUGAUUUAGAAUGAGGGAUUAUAUGAAGUCAACCUGAAGGAUUGUAGUUUUCUGGAACAAAUGAAAAUAAAGUGUGCAAUAUUGACGGAGAAAAAAGUCUUUUUUUUAAAAUUAUUGGGACUUAAACAAGCUCUAAAGCAGGUGCACUUGGAAUUUGAUUCUUUAGUUGUAUCAAAUGGAUUUCAUGUAAACAUGUCUGAUGAAUGUGUAUAUUCAAAGGAAUAAUAGAAUGGACAGAUUGUGAUCUGUGUUUUAUAUGUUGAUGAGAUUUUAAUUUUUGGUACCAAUUAAAUGUAAUACAUGAUGUGAAGAAAUUCCUGAAUGAGAAAAAUUUUUUUUUGAUAUGAAGAUCUUGGGGCCACAGAUGUAAAUUUCUCCAAAUAUUGAAGAUCAUUAGAGAAUCAAAAGAAAUUGUUCUGAGGCCAAUCAACCUAUUAGUGAACAGUUUAUUGAAAAAGUUUGGAUAUUUUGAUGUUAGAACCUGUAGUGACCACCUUAUAAUUCUAGUGUAACAUCUAAGAGAAUAGAGGUGAUCCAUUGGUCAGAAAUAGAUAUCACAGAUUAUAGGAUCAUUUGGGAUAUUAUAACUUACUAGACCUGAUGUUGGGGCUUAUGGCUUAAAACAGAUUGAGAGAUAUACCCAAUAUCCGUAGGAUCAUAUGGAUGCUUUAGAAAGAGUUUUGAGGAUAUCUAAAGGGAACUAUUCUUUGGAUUACAUUACAAGUGGCUUUCCUCGCAAGUACUAGAAGGAUAUAAGUGACAAAUUGAUUAGUGAUACAGCUUGAUUGUAAAUCUACUACUGGAUUUGUUUUUCUACUAGGAGGAGGCAGCUGUUUCUUGGAAAUGUCAACCAAUAUCAAUCUUUGAUUGGGCUUAGACGUACUAUGGACAUCUGAACUUAUAAGCAUUAGAAUACCACUGUAAAAGAGGCUAAGUGAUAAGAGAAUUUCUUUUUUAUGAUUUGCUACUGAGUGGAGGCGACUUUAGCACCAGUGUGUAUUCAUUGUGAUUGUAGAUCUGCAAUUCGAUAAGAUGUGGCCCAAGAGAAUGUGGAGACGCAAGAUGAAUAGAUUUAUGAAAGUGAGACAUAAAUUAUCUCGAGUUCAGCAAUCCUGAGGAGAAUGUAUGUGCUUGAAUUUGAGAAUCUCAAACGAAUUGGCUGAUCACUCACCAAGGGUUGUCUAGGACUGUGAGUCCUAGAAAUCGUCGGGGGAUGGGGCUUAGCGCACAAUGAAAUUACCCGGCGAGGCAACCCAACCUGUUGGCAGGUUCAUGGGUAGAAAAAAGUCGAAGCAGGUAGCUGUGAGGAGCACUGUUUUUGGAUCUCAUCCCUAUGGCGACAGUGCUCAUUUUCUGUAAGUGGAUAGGAAGGCUUUAAGCCCUGAAUGUUCCGAGAGCCAUAGGCAGGGUGUGACCUUACAGACACCCUUCCUGAGGAUGGCUACUAUGUGUGUGGAAGUUUGUGCGGCGCAACUAUGGGAAGAGGGCGAUUCCUAAACAUCACAUGAAAGAUACUCAGCGGCAUGGCCGUAAUACGCUCACGUCGCUUAGAACUAAAUAGCUGUACGAUGUUGUUGCGGUUUGUGGAAAUCCGAUCACACGGCCUUGUUCAAGCGAAGUCCAUCCAUUUGUGUCUCGGAUGUACAUAGACAAACAGCUAAGUGACCGGUUCAACCCGCAAGUACUUCUGCGAAUACGUGGUAUACAGAGAUCCAGCAUCCUUUUGAGUUAUUUUUGAAUUUCAGUUUUUAUUUUUAUUUUUUGAAUUUUUAAUCAUGUGGGGGAAUGUAGUAUUUGAUUUUAAAACAAGUGAUUUAACUUCUUUAGAAAAAGCCAUAUGUAAUUAAACUUAAAUUUGAUCUUUGACUUUGUGGGCAGCCCACUGAUCAAUAGGCCCUUGCCUGGGAGCCCAAGCUUUGGUCUCUUUUCAUGUGGUGUUUAGUCCACUGGAAAGAGACCUCUCACUUGCUUGGUUUAUAUACUUCUUUAUUCUCAUUGUUAUUAUUGGGAAGAUAAUGAGAGUGGAGCUCUCGUCUAAAUACCGCGUCACGCGCGCACUGGCACGAGCACGGAGCCGAGCGGCCGGGCGGGCGGCCGCGCGCUGAACCCGGUUCACUUUUAUUUUUGUUCCCACUUUUCAUUUUAUUAUUUUAUUUUUGCACUUACCUGGAUUAGUCAUAUUUGGGUGCAGUCGAAGGGUCCACCUCGGACUCAAACCAGCCCAACGGUGCUACUCGCGACAAGGUGUAUUCCCGUUGGAACUCUUCUUUUUGGUCUCAUAUUUACUAGGGUAGGGGUGAGUGGGCUGGGUUAGGUUAGUAGUGACAUACAGAAACCCUAACCCGAGCUCCUCCUUUUCUCUCUUCUCCUUCUUCUUCCAGCUGUUUUGCUGGAUCUCUGAAGGGAGCUGUGACGGUUCGUUCUUGCACCACCCUGAAGCCCGUGCGACGGGGUGGACGAAGGUCCGUAUGUAUGCGCUAGAGUGAUUGCCGCCCUCGUACGUGGAGGGGCAAUCUUGCUUUCUAGGACAGUGCAAUCGCACCCUCGAUCACGGCUCCAUCUAAUCCGCUUUAUUCUCUCUAGUUUUUAUUUAUUUGCGUUUCUUAUCAACCGUUUUCAAAACAGUGGCCUAAGUUGUACUUCAAACAAAAUUAUUUAUAUUUUUUAAAUAUUAUACUAAAGAUUUCGAAGAGAACUAUUUUUCCAACAAUGUAAGAAGCAAGAUUUUAUUUUCUCUUUCUUGUCUUCUUUAGUUUAUGGUAGAAUACUAAUUUUGGCUGUAGGAUAAAUAUAUGUGGCAUGCCACCAAGCUAAUAUUGCUUAAUUCGGUAUAUAUAAACCUAAAUAAUGCAUGCUGUUUUUUUAGGUUUACUUGAAAAUACUAGUGUAAGUUAAGAUUGUAAUACUGCUAAAUAAUAUAUAUAUAUUUAUCUGCAUGAUCAUACUGUUACAAACAUUAUUAGAAAAAUUUACUGUUAUAUCUGUAAAACUUGGAAGCAGUCUUUGUGAUAUUAUUUUUAGGGAUUACUUUGCAACAGAUUUGUCAUUAUGGAGGACUUUCGUAUUCGGCGAAGCCGUUCAACGUUUCGAUGGUCCGUAAUUUUAAGAGGUGGCGAGAACCAAUGAGGUCUGCUCACCACACUUGGGCUUGUGUCUGUAUCUCGGAUCACUGUCGAGAAUAGCAACUGCACCUUCAGGUGGCAAUCCAGCCUACAGUGGCUACCGACCGUCUUACUAGGAGCCAAGCCAAGCCGUGAUCCGCUCGGCUCCCCUCUGAAAAUGUAACUGGCACCUCACUUAACUGUAAACGCCGCCUUGUAGAUCCUAAGUGGAUAAACUAUCAAUUGGCCUGAACCGGUAUUCUUAGUACCUAUCUGAUAAACUGUAUGACAUAUUCUGUACGUGCCAAAUAAGUAGGGAACUUUGGACAUCCUUAGAACAUAAGUAUGGUCAGGUUGAUCCUACCAGAGAGAUACCAAGCUUUUCAGAUCUGAUUGAAUUCAAAUUAGUGAUAGAUAAACCUAUGUCUGACCAGCAUCCAUGAUUUUGAGUAUAUGUGUUGAGCCAGACUUAGAUCUAGUGGUAUAAUAAAUCUUGAUGAGAGUUUUUUAGUAGGCCCUCUUAUAGAUAAGUUGCCACUCGCUGUCUAACCAUAGCAAAUGAAAUCUUAAACCAUAAACCAAAGAGAGCUUUCCCUGAAAUUAUGUCCUAAGAUGCAUUAGGAUAGACAGAGUCGAACCGAGCCAAGGAUAAGAAACUACUGAACUGCCACUACCCAAGCCAACUAGUAGAGAAUCCUAAAUAAUAAAGGGUAGAUAACUUUCAGCCUCAAUAGGAACUUUUGAACGAAGCUUUCGCAUCCAUAGAAAGUUCAACCGCAAACUUUAAGAAGGCCUAAACCUGAUGGAGUGGGAGGCAUCGGGCUGGUUGCUUUGUGUGCGGGAAACGCACCAUUUGCGAAGGAUUGGCUAUUUUCGCAAGACUGACCUCUGCACCCAAGAAGAAGAAGACGGUCACGCUGAGCGCACAGAUGAAUAUGUUGACUGCUGGAACUUGACUCUUCUGCUCUACUAUAGGUUAGGAUCUAGUUUAAGCUGAAGUUAACCUUAACCUUUAGUUCUUCUGAUUGGUGGAUAGAUACCGGAUGCAAAUAUUCGGAUGGCAUGUUCUGAUCGCUCUUUGGUUUUUGCCACUUAUCAGGACUCAUGUGGAGGCUCGGUGAACAUGGGGAAUGCACUCUUUCUCGCGUGCUUGGGACCGUCGAGUGGAUUUGAGACUCGACUUCUGGGAAGAACCUAACUUUGCACGGAGGUCCACAGUUUACCCGAUAUAGGAAGAAUUUGAUUAGUGGUUUCUUUAGUUCAGAGCCAGGGUUCUUUAAGUUAGUUUUUGAAUGUAAUAGGUAGUUAUUACUAAGGGUGUGGAUUUGUAGAAAGGGAUUUUGAGUGAUGGUUUGUUAAGUUAUCUGUAUUCCUCACCUAUUAAUGAAAGUGCACGUGAUUUUUGAAUGUUGUUUUCACUGAUUGUUUGGGCAUGGAAAGAUUGGGAAUGUGAAUUAUAAUACUGUUUAAGAGAUUAAUGCAUCUAGCUUUUGAUUCCUAACAUCUGAUUUGUCUAAUCGUAAAUGUGAAAUUUUGUGUGCAGGCUAAGGAGCCUAGAAAACCUUUUAAAUCAGUCUAGAUAGAGAUUCGUGAUAUGUUAGAACUUGUGCAUAGUGAUGAUUUGUGAUGAACUAGACCUACUAAGGUGGAAAUAAAUAUUAUUGUGACUUUCAUAGAUUUGAUUAUUCGAGUAUUGUAUGUUUAUUUGAUCAAGACAAAAGAUAGGUUUUGACACGAUUUUAAAAUUAUAAGCUGAAGUUGAAAAUCAAUUAGAUAAGAAAAUCAAAAUUUUUGAGAUCUGACUCGAGGAGAGUGAAUAUACUUCAAUGACGAUGACUAUUUUCUGUCCAAGGAAGUUGGAAUUGUACAUCAAGUGACUGCACUUAACUACACCUCAAUCUAAUGGGUUGCUGAAUCGCAAAAUAGAACUUUGAUGGAUAUGUAAAUUCGUGAAUUAUUAGUUCAGGUGCACCGCGAACUUGUGGGCAGCUUUGAUUUCUGGCAUGUGUGAUUUUAAUAGAAAUCUCCCACAAAGAAUUCUAAUAUUCUCCUUAUGAGCUUGGAAAGGUAGGAAGCCUAAUUUUGAAUUAUUUAAAAUGUGGGUGCUAGCUAAAAGUAGAAUACCUGAGAACAAGAAAAGGAAGAUUGGUCCUAAGACUGUAGAUACAAUUUUUAUAGGCUAUGCUUAAGAUAGUAACACCAACAGAUUUUAGUGGUGAUUCUGAUUAGUAGAGAUUUCUAAUAAUAUCCAUUAAUUGAAGCUAGAGAUGCAAGUGUAUUUUGCGGAUAUCUUUCUUUUAGGACCUAGAGUAGAUAGACCGUACUCAUGUUGAGCAUGUAAGGUAGCUCUAGUGGUCCUAGCGUUAGUGAGGCCUACAGUAGAGUUGACUAGGAGAAGCUAAGCGUCCUAGCGUAAUGAGAAAAUUUUUGGAGAUGGUUUUUUGUGUCCUACUAGUUGAAGAUACUCCUUCUACCUUGACAAGGCUAUGAAGUCUGUAGAUGCAUCUUUUUCGGAGAGGCUAUUAAUCUUGAGAUGCAAUCUAUUCUACAGAAUCAUUACUUGGGAAUUAACAUGAUGUUAACCCUAUAGGCAUGUAGCCUGUUAGGCUGUAGAAUGUCUUUUAAGAAAGAAGUUGAGACCUGAUGUUUCUGUAGAAAAGUAUAAAGCUAGACUAGUGGCUCAAGGUUUUGCACAGAAGCCAGGUGUAGAUUUAUUUUGAUGUGUAUGCACCUGUUGCUAGAAUUACCUCCAUUAGAUAUUGUUGGGCCUUAGCUCUGUUCACAGUUUUGAUUGUGGCAUCAGAUGAUGUAAGACAGUUUUUCUGAAUGGUGAUCUUUAGAUGAGGAGAUCUAUAUGAAGACCUGAAGGAUUCUGUAGUUUCUGGACAUGAAAAUAAAGUGUGCAAAUUGACGAGAUCUUUAUAUGGACUUCAAACAAGCUCCUAAGCAGUGAGCAACUUGAAUUUUGAUUCUUUAGUUGUACUCAAUGGAUUUAAUGUAAACAUGUCUAUGAAUGUGUAUAUUCAAGAGGAAUACUGAUGGACCGAUUGUGAUCGCCUGUGUUUUAUAUGUUGAAUGAUAUUUUGAUUUUUGGUACAAUAUAAAUGUGAUACUGAAUGUGAGAAGAAUUACUGAAUGAGAAUUUUGAUAUGAAAGAUCUUGGGCAACAGAUGUAAUUCCAAUAUGAAGAUAUUAGAGAAUAAAAGAAAUUGUUAUGAGCCAAUCACCUAUAGUGAAAGUUAUUCGAACAAAGUUUGGAUAUUUUUGAUGUUAAGACCUAGUAGUGCCACGUUACUGAUUCUAGUGUACAUCUUUAGAAGAAUAGAGGUGAUCCAAUUGGGUCAGAAUACGAUAGGCACAGAUUAUAGGAUCUUUUGGGAGUAUUAGAUAGACUAUACUAAUCCUGAUUUGGCUUAUGCUGUAAACAGAUUUGAGAAAAGAUAUACCAUAUCCGACAUAGAGAUCAUUGAAUGCUUAGAAAGAGUUUUGAGUAUCUAAAGGGAACUAUAUCUUAUGGAUUUUACAUUACAGUGGCUUUCCUGCAGUACUAGAAGGAUAUAGUGAUCAAAUUGAUUAAGUUGAUACAGUGAUGUAAAGUCUACUACUGGACUUUUGUUUUUCUCCGUAGGAGGAGCAGCUUUUCUUGGAAGUCAACCAAAAAAUAUUUGAUCUGCUAGAAGUACCUAUGGAAUCUGAACUUAUAGCAUUAGAUACCGACUGUAAAAGAGGCAAGUGAAUAAGAGAAUUCCUUUAUGAUUUGCCACUGAUGGAGCGACCUUAUACACAGUGUGUAUUCAUUGUGAUUGUAGAUCUGGCAAUUGAAUAAUGUGCCCAAGAGAAUGUGGAGACCAGAUAAUAGAUUAUGAAAGUGAGACAUAAGUUCAUCUCGAAGAAUGAAGGAGAAUGUAAUUGCUUUGGAAUUUGUGAGAUCACUGCAAAGAAUGUUGGCUGAUCAGGCUCACCAAGGGAUUGUCUUAGGACUCGUAUCUAGAAUCGGUCGAGGGGGAAUUGGGCUUAGCGCCACCAUGAAAGUUACCGGCGACGCAAGACCAACCUGUUGGGUCAGGUUCAAUGGUAGAAACAAGUGACAGGUAGCUGUGAGGAGCACGUGUUUUUGUACUCGCUCAUUCCUAUGGCGACAGUGCCCUCAUGUUCUGUAAGUGGAUAGGAAAGGGCUUAGCGCCUGAAUGGUUCCGAGAACCCAAUGAGGCGGGUGUGACUUACAGACACCUCUGAGGAACUAACUAAUGUGUUGUGGAGAUUGUGAGGGCCGCAACUAUGGGAAGGGGCGAUUCCUCUAAAACACCACUAUGAAAGAUACUUAGCGCAAUGGCCGUAAUACGCUCACGUUAGACCUAAUAGCUGUAGCCAUGUGUGCGUUUUGUGGAAAUCCGCGAUUCACCGGCGUUCGGUUCAGAGGCGAAGUCGCACCAUUGUGUCUCGGAAUGUAACAUAGAUCAAGCAUAAGUGAAGGUUCAAACCGAAAGGACCUUCGCCGAAUAGUGGAUAAAGAGAUCCAGCAUCCUUUUGAGUUAUUUUUGAAUUUCAAGUUUUUUUAUUUUUUAAUUUUUUGAAGUUCUUAAAUCAUGUGGGAGGAAAUGUUAUAUUUUGAUUUUAAAACAAGUGAUUUAAAACUUCUUAAAAGCCCCAUAUGUUAUUAAGACUUAAAUUUGAUCUUUGGACUUUGUGGGGGGCCCCCUGUCAUAGGCUUGUCCUUGGGAGCCCAUAGCUUUGGUUCUCUUUUCAUGUGGUGUUUAGUCCCCACAUUUGGAAAGAGACCCUUAGUUGCUUUGGUUAUAUACUUCUUUAUUCUCAUUGUUAUUAUUGGGAAGUAAUGAGAGUGGAACGCCUCUCGUCUAAAUACCACGCACCCGCCCGACGGCACGAGCCGAGCGAGGGGCGGGCGGCGAGCGCAGUGAACGCCGGUUCACUUUAUUUUUGUUACACUUUCAUUAUUAUUUUAUUUGACCUUACCUGGAUUAGGUCGCAUAAUUUGGUCCAGUCGAAGGGUCGCACCUCGGACUCAACCAGCCAACGGUCUACCUCGGAACAGUGGGUCCUUCCGUUUGGAUCUUCUUUUGGCUCUGCCAUUAUUUCUAGGGUGAGUGGCUGGGUUAGGCUUUAGUAGUGACAUACAGAAACGCUAACCGAGCUCUCCCUUUUUCUCUCUUUUGCCUUCUUCUUCACUGUUUGCUGGAUCUCUGAAAGCUGUGACGGUUCGUUCUUCACCCCUGAAGCCGUGCCGCGGGGUUGGAGCGAGGUCGUUGUAUCGUAGCAGUGAUUGCGGGCCUCGUUACGGUGAGGGGCAUCUUGGCUUCUAGGAGUGCAACGCACGCGCGCUCGACUCACAGCUCAUCUAAUCCUUUAUUCUCUAUAGUUUUUAUUUAUUUCGUUCUUAAUCAACGUUUUCAAAACAGUGGCUAAGUUGUCUUCAAACAAAAUUAUUUAUAUAAAUAUUUGACUAAAGAUUUCGAAAGAGAACUACUUUUUCCAACAGAGAUGAUGGUAGUAGGUGGUGGUAGGUGGAAUAGUGUUUGAUCAAAAGACUAUUAGAAAUCAAGAAGUAGAUUCAAGGGCUAGAAACUUAGAAGCACCAACUCAUUAGUGCUUCUAAAAGUAUUCUAGCUCUACUCUCUCUUUCUCUCUCUCUCUCUCUCUUUCUCUCUCUCUCUCUAUAUAUAUAUAUAUAUAUAUUCCAGCUAUUAUACAUUGAUGAAUACGAUCGUCAAUAUACUUAUAAGUCGUUUGUAACGAUAGAGCUUCCAAAUUAACGAUCUAUACCUUUAAAUAUUAUUUAGAGCAUUUAAAACUUCUAGAAACUAAAUUUUAUAAUUUUUCAUAUUAUUUAUCUUAUGAUCAAAAUAUUUUAAAAUUAAUAAUUUUUAACGGCCAGUAUAAUAUAUUUGCUAAUUUAAUAGUGUAAAAGAAUCAGAAUCAGUUGAUUUUUUUAUUGAAAUUUAUAUUCACUAUCUAAAUAAAGAUCAAUAACUUCGAUCUUAAAUUGAAAAAUCCAAUCAUCUAUUUCAGGAGAUUGUUAAAUUUUAACCGUUUAUUUUAUGCUCGCUUGAUAUACUUUAAUAUAAUUUUAAAAAAUUAUAAAAUUUAUUUUUAAAAAAUUUUAAAUAUUCUAGAUCAUAUCGUCGAUUCGAAAGCUACAUCAUCAAAAAUAAUUUAUUAGUACGAAAGGGUCUAUAUUCAUAAAAAUAUAAUAGUUCUACUCUCUCAAUAUAUAUGUAUAAAGUUGAGCUAGAAUACUCUCAAAAGUACCAAGGAGUUGAUACUUUCGAGUUUUUAGUCAUUGGAUGGAGAGAUGUAGGGUUGAAAUGAUGGUGGUAGGUGGAAUAGUGUUUAAUUCAAAGAUUAUUAGUAAUCAAGGAGUAGAUGUAAGGGCUACUAGAAACUCAAAAGCAUUAAGGGGUUGAUAUUUUAGCUCAAUUCUAUAUAUAUAUAUAACAAAGGAGGAAAACAGUUUUAAGAAACUAAAAUAGUAUUGUAUGCAGAGUUAUGUUUCAUUGGUUGAGAGCUUUGAAUUAUAUUAUAUUUUAUUUUUCACGAUGAUCAUUUCCAUCGAAGCUUUUAAAUAAAUUUAUUUAAAAUGUUACUUUUCGUCUAUGAUCACUAAAUAAUUAUAGUUUGAUGAUUUUAUUAUAAAACUCGCCUCCAUUAAAUUUAAUAAAAAAUUUUAAAAUUUUAAAACAUUUAAACAAAUACUAUUUUAUUAUUUUACAUUCAGCAUCAUUUAAUUCAUCUCUAUUAAAGUCUCGUUCACACCAUGACGUAGUAAGCAACUUCGGACCCGUCAGAUCCCAGAAACUCGGGUUAGAUAUUUGUUUUUUUCUUUAGGAAAAACUUCAAAAAGGCCCAUUGUGGUUUUAUACUUUUUCAUUUUAGUACCCUGUGGUUUAAUGUGUAUCAAGUUAGUACCCUGUGAUUUCUCACUUAUCAUUUUAGUACCCUGUGGUUUAAAGUGUAUCAAGUUAGUAUCCUGUGGUUUUGCACUUUAUCAUUUUAGUAUCCUGUGGUUUUACACUUUAUCACUUUUGUACCCUAUGGUUUAAAAAACCACAGGGUACUAACUUGAUACAAAAUUAAAACCACAGGGUACUAAAGUGAUAAAGUGCAAACCCACAGGGUACUAAUUUGAUACACUUUAAACCACAAGGUACUAAAGUGAUAAAGUGAGAAACCACAGGGUACUAACUUGAUAUAUUUUAAACCACAGGAUACUAAAGUGAAAAAAAUUGAAACCACAAGAGAGUUUUUUGAAGUUUUUCUUUUUCUUUAUACAAAAAAUGCUAUUAUUUUAAAAAUAAUUCUAUUAUACAUUUUAUUUCAUAAUAAUACAUAUUUUACACACCGCACUUUUAGAAUUUAAAAAUCAUUUUUAAAAUCUUUAAUAUUUAAAAACUAAUAAAAUAAAUAAAUAAAUUUUAACUUAUCAAAAUUAAAAUAUGAAAUUUAUAUAUAUUACUAUUAUACAUGUGCAUGUAGCAUUACCUCUUUGUGAAGGGUUGUCGGCUUUUAUAGCAGCACUGUGGCGUGCAUAAUUGGCAAGUGUUGUUUGGCGAGCAUGGGCUGAUGGGCAUCACAGCAAGGCACGUGGCACAGUCGCUGUCCGAACACUCCGCACGUGGCAACCCCUGGAAUGCCAUAAAGGCCGUUGAGAAUUGGGCCACGCUCUUUUACUAAAAAUAAAAAUAAAAAAGAGAGAGGAAUAGAGACAAAAGUAUUUCUAGUCUCUAUCUGUGGAGGAAUGUUAUGCUCGGAAAUUUUAAAAGAGAAAUAUUAUUGAACUGUCAUAUUUAUAUUCACAUUUUAGUUUUUAUUUCUUAAAUUAAAAACAAUAAAAAUUUAAGAAACACGAUAAAAAUAUAAAAUUAGUCUUGAUAAAAAAAAAAUACGAUAAUUUAUCAUAUUUAAAGGCGACAACUGUAUUAUUGUGUUUAACCUAAAAACAUCUACAUGGUCCUUUCCUUUUCUGUCUAACGUGAUGCUCGAGUGACGAGAAAGUCAUUUAUGUAUAUAUAAAUUUUUUAGGAUUAUUUUUUUACAAAAAUAGAGGGGAGUUAGAUGCUUAAAAACAGAAGCUUUGGUUGAUCCAACCAUGACCGACGCAGAGCCUAAUGUUGUAGCCCAGGAAUCUUCUCACACUUUGGGCUCUUGGAGCCCAGAUUUUGAAGCAUGAUCUCAAAUUGCGGAUCCAGAGCCAGUGUUGAGCCAAAAGGCUUAGAAGCUUUAAUCCGAUGUAUCAAAUUGAUUUGUUAGUCUCGGAUUGCGGUUCCCAUCUAGAAUAGAUUUGAAACCUCUUGCAACCAAAAUGGUCAAAAAAAAAAAAAAAACAAAACAAAACCCAAGGAACCAGGAGCGGGACAAGAAUUUUUGUAUAGAAGAGGCACAAUGGACGAUCAGCAAAAUUUUACGCAUUUCUAUUAGCUUUAAUUUUCUUUUUCAUAUUUAUAAAUUAUAGUAUUCAGUAAUUAUAGCCUAUAAUUUUAUUAUGAGUUAUAUUCUUAUUCAGAAUAUUGUAAGAAAGAUAUUAGUAAAUUUUCUAAUUGGCUGAUUAGAUAAAUUAUAUCUUGAGAAGAAGGAGCAUUAAAUAAUAAUUAAUAAUUUUUUUGGUAUAAAAAAAUUUGGGGAUCAAACAGAACGCAGACACCUACUUCAGGGAUAAAACUUCAGUGAGAAACUCUCUAAGAUGUUUCAUUAGAGAGCAUUUGAUCCACCGUGACGCAUCAAUUUUGUAGUACUAAAAUUUAAAAAAUUUAAAACUACAGAGAAAAUAUCAGAUGACAACGAUUUCUCACUGUUGAAGAUUGUUUUUUCGACCACCCACCGGCGCCAAGGAACCAAUCUGUGUCGUUCCUUAAUUUGUAGAAAAGGAAGGACCCCACAAACCAACGCACCUUUCUUUUUCAUUUUGACUGCAGAUGGAAUCAACGUGACAAGCAACUGAAAAGGACGUAAAACUUAACUUAGAUCAGAUGCAAGCAAUCCUGACCAUUAGUUAUUUUUGAGGAUAAGGAAGUUUAAUCACUUGUGAAUUAGCUACGGUUGGCAAAUCCUCGCCAGUAUUGUUUAGGUCCAAGAUUCUUUUCUCUCUCUCCCUCUAUAUGUCUAUAUAUUAACUCAUCUUCUUUACAUUUCUAACUUUUACGUCAAACACUUUUUAUUAAACAAAUAAUAGAGUUGAAAAAACUUUAAUUUUAUAGCUAUACAAACAAACAAUAGAAUAAUUUCAAUUUUUACCUAAACUCUAAAUCACCGGAAUACCUACUUCAACCUGAACUUUACCCUCGGCGAAACAAGCAGGCCCUCGCUGUUCCGCACGAUAGUGAACUCCCCAGGUUAAUGUGAGACCACAGCAACAUCAAAUUGAGAGAGCAAAGCACAGGUAUGUUAGUGCUUUUCGGAAACCAACAUGCACAAAUCAUUCGAGUAUACAACUGAAUUAAUUUUUUAAAUAGAUAUGGAAAAGGAAAACUUAAUUGCAUUAAUUAUAAUAAAGAGCAAGUAGAAACGGAUUUUGGUAGAAGUAAAGCAUCCAUAUGCUUCGUCUAGAGAACAAGUAUGUGUACAAGCUACAAUGGUUGUCCAACUUAUUCCCAUAUGCAUGGCUUUACAUGGUAUCAAUGAACAACACAAAUUUGGCAUAGCCAAAGACUACUUUUAAAUAUCAAAGUUUUUUUUUUCUUUUUUUCUUUUUUUUAUAUGCAUAGCACUAAAGCACAAGUUACAAUUGAGUGUGAGUAAAUCAGAUUAAAGUAUCUUCAUCUUCGAAAGGCGCCGAGAUGUAGUCCGCCAUCAAUUUGAAGUGUCAGCAUGGUUCUGUAACCGACUUUUUUCUUCUCGUCCCACAUCUUGAACUUGAAAAAGUACAAGAGAGUGGCAGCAAAGAUCUUCAUCUGUCGGUAUGCGAAUUCCCUCCCGAGACAUAUGCGAGGGCCAGCCUGCAUAUAGCUCAAACUAGCCACAGUGAGCAAAUAAUAGCCUUUAUUUUUAAUCGUUGGCCAUUAACCAUGAUUAGUAGGUUAUGGUACUUAAUCUUAUACGCCAAAUUGCCAUGGCGUCUGAUACAAACUAUUUUCUCUUACUUGAGAAAGAAAGAAAAUUCUAGAGCUUUCGAACCCCAAAUAAAACAAACAGCGUUACUGAAAUAGCACUUCUUGAAGAGCUUCGGACUAAAAGCACUCGAAGCUCACCUGAAAAGCAGCGAACUUAAAAGGGCUCUCAGUAACGAAAACCCCAUCUUCGUUAAACCAUCUUUCUGGCCGAAAUUCUUCGGCAUCCUCCCCCCACAGAAAUUUCAUUCUGCCCAUAGGAUAAGGUUGAUAGUUUACCAUAUCGCCCUUCUUUACAUCAAAGCCAUCCGGUAGUGUGUCGUCCGAGAAGCAACACUUGGCAUCCUACAAUCCAGACACAAUACACAAUCAGUACUGGUGAAAGAAACUCUCCAAGUUUUAAUCUCUAAAACACCGAGUAAGAAGGAUCAAUUCACCAACGGAACAGCAGGGUAUAGCCUAAGUGUUUCAGUAAGAGAUGCAUGGAGAUAUUGCAUUUGAUUAAUGGCUUCUUCGGUCAAACACGCAGCAAAUUCAUCCAUAGCCGCAUUAUCUUUGAUCCCAAUGGCUUCUCUCACUUCUUGUGCUACCUUUUCCUGUACAUGAGGAUGCUUGCAUAGCAUGUAAAGGAGCCAAGAAAGUGUCCCCGCUGUUGUGUCCCUCCCCGCGAUAAUGAAAUUUAGAAUGAUAUCCCUUAAGUACCGAUCUUCUAUGUUAUCCGACCCUCUCUCUCUUUCGAUAAGAAACCUCGACAAGAUGUCUUCUUUCUUCAUCUGCAGCAAAGAACUAUACAUUAGAAUUGGCGCAAAAAAUAGGGUUCUGAAACCUGCGAGCUCAUCAAAUGACUUACGAAGUCUCCGCGUUGUUUGGACAUUUGUUCGGACUUUUUAUCGAUCAAUUUGUACACGAAAUCAUCGAUCAGUUUAAUAUUCCUUUUCAUCUCUGCCUCUGAUCCUAUAUUCAGAAACCUUUUAACCUUCCAAGAGACAUCGAGAAAACGCCGCAGCAACUGGCAACUUGAAUCAUCAAAAGCCUUGGCAAAUUUUCGCCCUUCCUCAUUAGACCCCGACAGAGUGUCCAAUUCAACCCCAAACCCAACUUUGAAUAUUGAAUCUAAAGUCGAUUUCAUGAACAAAUCCUAGUAAUUACAUCAACAACAACAAAAACAACAACAUCCUCAUAGUAAGCAAUUACUACAAGCAGCAAUUUUGGGAACACAAAACCGAUUAAAAACUCCACUCACUUGGAUAUCCAUCAUCUGAUAAGAAGAGGCGAACUCUGCUACGAUGUUAGCGAGCUUGGCCGCGGUGUUUCUGAACACAACACUGCUAAAAUCCCUCAACACCUUCGCGGAAAACUCGAAAGAAGCGAUCUUUCUCUGCUGUCGCCACUUAUCCCCAUCAACCGCAAAGAUCCCAUCACCAAGCAGAUCCCUCAUAACACUAUAACUGAGCUCUCCCUACAAUUAAAGCCCCACAAAACUCGUAAAAAUCCGAUUUUUAUCGCAAAAUUGAACCGGGCAAGUGGAACUACGAAUUGCGUUUUUUGCAUGUUUGGGGAUCUGAUUACCUUGCCGUAGUUGGCGAAGUUGGUUUUGAGGAUGUACUCGACGUUGGCGGGGUCGACGGUGUAGACGUAGUUGCAGGAGGGGGUGAGCAUGCGAAAGGUUUUGUGGCGUCGGGAGAUGGUGGUGUGGUAAUCCACGAGGCGGUGGAUGUUGAGGAGUUGGUGGAAGAUGGUGCCCGCGAUUGGCGCGUAAUUAGGCUUCCUUCGUGUCGGAUUUUGGCGGGACAAGAGGAGUAGAAGCUUCGCGAAGCAGACGCCGAGAAGUAGAGUUACGAUGGCGGCGGCGGCGGCGGCGGCGGCGGAUGUGGGAGACCUUGCGAGCGUGGAGGACUCCAUGAAUUGUUGAGAGAGAGACAGAGAGAGAGAGAGAGAGAGAGAGAGGGAUUGAUUCAGGGGUCAUACACUGGAAGUGGAAGGGGGGAUGCGAUAAAAUAAAGGGUUUCUCAGUCACACCUUAAGUCUCAAUUAAUUUUAAAAUUCUAUAAUUUAAAUUUAUAACAGUAUAAUUUAAUUUCAAAUAAUAUCAAACUGUAUAAUCCAAUCUCAAAUAAUGUAAUAUUCUCAAAUUUCGUGGCAUCCUAGUUGUCCACGAUCAGACCCAUCGUCACAAUCUCAUUUCUGCAAUCUGUGUCAUAUUUGAGCCAGAAUCAAUGAAGAUACAGAUGAAGUAAGAAAAAAAAUGUGCGUCAUCAAUACGAGAUAAUAAAUGCGGAGAUAGGAGAGAAAGCGAAAAUAGAAAGAUGAAAUAUUAAUGAAAAGGAAGACUUAUCGCGAGAAAAAAUACGAACGACAAAAAAAAAAAAUUAAAAAUAUCUUGGUUAUUUUAUUAAAAUUUGAAAUUGGCAAAAUUUUAAAAAAAUACUCUACUUUUGUAAAAUCACAAAACAGGUGGAAAUUUUAUGCAAAACGGUUAAUUUUAUUUUUUAUAAUUUAAUUUUUUUACUUAAGAUUAAAAAAUUAAACAGUGACAAAAUUGCUAAAGAAAUAUAUAUCUGUAGAUAAUAAAGUUAUAAAAUUAUAAUCAAAAAAAUAACUGUAGGACUCAUAUUACUUGUAAAUUAUUUACAUACAACGAAUGGUAGGUGAAAUAUUCUUUGCAAUUUCAGCAAAUUUUAAAGUCAUUUUAUGCAUGUAGUGGACAAGGGACGAAGGAUUAUUCACCGUUCACAUAAUUUCAAAAGUUUAGAUGGUACAAUUUAUAUUUCACCCAUCAAAUAAACAGAAUAUUAAGCACCAAUCACAUUAAGUAAUUAAUAAAAAUAUUUUAUUUAUUAAAUUAAUAAGAUAUAAAAUAUACAUUCUGAAUAAGAUUAUAGAUGGCAUUGCUCUUCCUUAAUUAUUAAUUAGGAUGAGGACAAGUGGUACGAAGUGAACAUAGUUGAUGCAAACUGUAAACACGAUACGCAGCGAUUGGCAGAAUGAAUUAGAAAUACGUAUUUUUUAAAAAAAAUAUACCAUGUAAUUUAUAAUAUUUAUUUUUUAUUAUUUUUUUUAUAAAUAAGUAAUAUGCCACUAAUUUCGUUUAUUUUAUUUAGAAAUAAAUUUAGCUGAAAAUAUAAAUUAACCAGAAUUUGAACUUAAAAUCUUGACUACCAACCACCAAAUUCUUUGCCACUUAUGCUAGCAACGAUCGAUUAUUUUUUAAAAUUAAUUCAGUUAAAAAAUAUAAAGUAAUUAACUUCCGAAGUAAAGAUUUUGGACAUCUGAUCUUGGUCGCCUGUGUAAAAAUAUUGAGUGAUGCCUGCCCAUGUAUUCCCAAAGCUUUUUAAAAUUUUCUUAAUAAACCAGUAUUAUAUAUGUGAUUGCUUAAUUGGUAAAGUUUUUUUUUUUUUUUUUUUUGAUAUUACGACGUUGUCAGGGUGUUUAAAAUACACUAGAAUGUAUUUAAAAUUCCGUCAUGCGAGCAAGGCCUAAUAUUUUUUUAUGAAGGAACAAUUUAUAAAAACAACAAAUUAAGCUGCUUAGAAUAUAUGCCAAGGUGGAAUUGCCAUGUAUGGUAGCCAAUUAGCUGUUAGUUUUUAAAAUACAAAGUUGACUAAAGAUGCAAACCGGUCGGAUCCAGGGGCAGGAAGGGUCUCUCACCUCCCGCUUCAUUUUUUAUCGGAUUUAGAUGAAUUUACGGCAGGUCAAUUUUAAUUAUAUUUUCGGCAUCCAUGUAUCGCUCCAUUCGGGACAGAUUAGGAUGGGAACAAAUUUUUGAUGAAUUUUUUGAGAAUUAGGAAGGAUCAAAGAAAAAAAAAAAAAAAGUCUCCUAUCUCUUCCUUCCUUUACUUGGCAAAUCGGAAAGGAUUUGAAGUCAAUUACAUUUUUCUAAAUUUUUGUUUCCACUUACCAUGAUAUUCGGAGGGUAUCGGGACAGAAGCUCCACCAAUCCGGAUUUAUUAGGCCCAACCUGCAGGCCUCGCAUAGCCAAACGAGUUACUUAAUAUGGGUCAAGCAAUCUAGCCAGAUCCUUUGGAUCGGACUCGAAAUAUUUCAAAAACACAUCAGGUAAAAUUGUUAGCCCUGACCCUAUGCCAUCUAAUAUUAUAUAUACGGACUGCAAAAUAUAGAGUGAUUCCAGGUACAUGGAUUAGCUGCUCUUGCCUUUUUUCAUUCAAUCAUUGUUUUCUUACUCUCAGCAUCCAGAAUAAAACUGAUUGAAAUAGAUUUAUAUCUAACAAAAGGAACACAGAACAUACCUUUUCUAUAAGAAAUCAAUCAAGCAAUUCAAAAGAACUCAUAAUUCACUCUCAAUUCCUCAAAUACUUUCACCGAGACGACCCGAAGAGCGUGAACACUCCCUUAAGCGCGAUAUCGAAGGCGUCCUCCAUCCCCUCUCCAAGCCCCUGCUCGCCCGCUGCGUAUAUCAACCUCGGUAUCAUAUCAACCACUCGCUCCCUCAUCUGCCUCGCCCUCUCCUCUCCGAUCCCAUCUAACACUGCUCUUACGCGAACGUUCCCUUCUCUAACCUCCUUUUGAUCUAUAAAAACCGACCAUUCGCUCUCCUUCCCUUGUACUGGAAGAUACCACUGGUACUGCAAGUAUGCACUCUCACGGAAGAAUAGCACUGGGAUUGCGCCCGCCACCAUGCAAUCAAACAUAGAGCGCCGCGUGAAGCUAUCUCCAUUCGGUUGAAGGCAGAAUGUUGAAUCCAGGAAUAGACUCAUUGUUGCAGCAUUUCUGUUCGCGCAUCGGCUCCCGUCACAGUCCACAGCACGGCACAAUGUGUUACCCGCAGCAGCGCACUCCUUCAAUAGCAGUCCCCUAAAGUCAUCCCUGAACCGUCGGGAGGAGCCUGCGAAACCAAAAAGCGUAGACCGAGAUCGGUUUAGAAUGAAUUGUUGCCAGGCCCUGACGUCAUCAACAGACCGAGGGUGAAACCCGGUUGGAUAGGGUAUUCCUACGUCCUUGUCAUCCCCAGAACUCCGCUCGAUUAUAAGGCGAGUGACAUUCUCCAUGCCAGGCAUGUUAAAAAAGUUGGAGCCCCAAUCGCCGUCAGGCGGGCGGCGGAAGUCCCACGUUAUGCGGCCAAUGGCAAUGAAGUGAUCAGAGCCAUUGGAUCGCCUAUAUGGAGCUUGCCGUCGGAUCCAACUUAGGAGAAGGGAGCAAUCGCGAUCGCGAUCACUGUUAGUGGCAUUCACGGACAAGAUGUACCGGCCAACUGCAAGACCAGCAUAGAAGGGAAUGUAGAAGGCGGUGGCUGCAGACGGGUCAGUGGUGCGACAUCGGUGGGUGAGGAGACGGCGGUGGAAUAUAGGCUCAAUGUUAAACUGGUCGGUGGCGAACCAAUGCGGCAGAAAAAGGGAAGGAAGAACAUCUUUGAGGUUUGCAGCAGCAGGUAGGCCGAAGCCGGCAUUAGAGAGGCCCGCGCAGCGGGAGGUCCAAGGAUCCAAGGCGUCGCACGCGGCGAGGAGGUCACGAUUGAAUACUGGAGGGAUAUCAUAUACAUAUACUAAGCCGGUGUCGCAGGUUGAGAUAGACGGCGGGCCACGAAGAAGGGAGAGGAAGCGAGGAAAGCGAGAGUAGAAGGUGGGGAGGAGGAGAAGGAAUUGGAUAGAAAGUAUAGAGAGCACGAGGCCCGCGCGGUGGACCGGAGAGAGGUGGAGGUGGAGGGAGGCGGCUGCGACCUUUGUUACGUGCACCGGCGAAGAGGAGUGAGGGGAAUCCUCAGGUUUUUCGGAAACCUCCAUCUCUGCAGUGACCUUCCAACUGUUCGGAAACUUUGAAGAGGUGAACUGAGAUCUAGAAAAUGGAUCAACUCCAGAAUUAUACAGCUUUGCUAUGUAAAUGUCUACAAUGUUGUCAAAGACUUUGUAAUCACAAUCACUUGAUGAAACUUUUUUUUAAAAAAAAAAAUCUUUUCCCUGAAAAAACAGUUAAGAGGAUGAACAGAGUAUAGCAGGCAUUUGAUGCUUCUCACAACCUCCCAUAGAAAGUUAGCUCUCUGGCCCCUCUGAGAGAUCACUAGAGUGCAAAUUACCAUAUUUGGAAUGCUAAUGUAUCUACCUAAUUUCUUUCCUUGUUAUCACUCAUCAUCAAGGGAUUGAUUACUUCCCUUCAUUGCCCUCCAAGGUGCUCGGUUAAGUUCAUGCAUUUUGUUUUUUUUUUAACUCACUAAAAAACUCGUAGUGAGUUGUUCUCGGAAUAAAAGGAAUGUGUUAAUCUAAUGUAACUUACCAUCAUCGCCUCACAGAGGAUUUUGCUCCAUUUGGAAUAAAAGGAAUGUUAGGAAGAUUAUUAUUGUGUCGGACAUAGUAGGAAAAUCAGUUAUUAUUAUCAUAUCCAUGAUGUCGCGCAGAUUAAGGGUGAUUUUAACAAAGAAUGUUUUCUUUAAAACAAAAUUAAAUUCUAAUAAGAACUUUCCAUUCUUCAGCUCUCAUGAGAGUUGACUUGGUCUGCUCGUUCGCAAUCAAAUCCCUGACGCUUAUUACUCAAACUUACAGAAGUUACAGUGUCAAGUACGCCAUAAUGGUAAACAGAGUUCAGAUGCUGAGCGAUUCCGGCUCAAAUUCAGAGUUUUUCGAGGCAAAACAUACAACAAAUUAGAAAGGAAAAAAAGAAAAGAAAAAGACUCUCUAUUUUCCCUUCUUAAGAAGGAGGGGUCCAACGUUAUCGCCCGUAGCCUUAUUGUGCUUCACGUGGCUCCCAUCGCACAGCGGGAACGUCCCCGAUCUCCAACACCUUCACAAAUCACAAUGAAAAUAUAAUAGAGAAUAAUUAACGAAGGGGGCGGGUGUUUAGGGUUUUAGGGUUUUAGGUUACCGGCAAUAGGCGGUGAGGGGCUUGGAGAGCUCGGGGACGAGGACGGAGUCGACGACCUUGUCCUCGUUCUUCCGAACCCCGGGGUUUACCCACCCCUCCGCUCUCACCGCCACGCGGCGGUCGCGGGGGCGAGGGAGAGGGAGGGUACGGGGUCGGGGUCGGUUGCUGCGGAGGGUCUCCGAGGAAGGGGCGUAGGAGAACCGUGCCCCGAUCACAGAGGCGGCGGGGAUCGGAGACGCCAUUGUUGGUGUUGGGAGCUUUGCGGAAUUUGGGGGAAGGGGAAGGGUCUCCGACGAGAGCGAGGGUUUAGAUUUUUAUUUUUAUUUUUAUUUUUCGGGAUUUGGAUGUGUGGCGCGCACGAGCUCGUUGGGGGAUCGGAGUGUGGGAAUCAACCAAGCUAAGGGAGGGGGGACUGCCACGUCAACGCUCACAUCACGGGCUCGAAUAGUUCGUGACCUUUUGCGGAUCGUGCAGGGCCUCUGGGCCGGAAAAGUGUGAUGUGGUUAAGCCCAUGAGCGUGUCGUACCAGACCAACCCACGUAUCUCUAAAAUGCACUCACUACUUUGGAAAAAAAUAUUUAGUUUGUUCUUGUAGUAAAUGAUGAGUUGCAUGCAUCACACUAUUGGAUUAGGAUAUGAUUUCUCCAAUCUCAAUAAAAAAGAUACUCUUUUUAAAACUUUAUUUUAGUCCAACAGCAUUAGACAUGCUUGAAUAUUAAAUAAGCUCCAAACAAUCCAAACUACGCAAUAUUUUGCGAAGAAUAUCCAAACAUAUUUUCUACUUUACUCUUGGCUAGGGGUGUAAUAUGCGUCGUGUUAGACCUGCAAGGUUCAGAUUUUUUGGGCAGCCACAAAAGGGUCGUGGCUUGGUUCGGGCUUAAAUCCGGGCAGUGCCAAGCUAGGCCACUUUUCUUUGAACUAUGGCCUAGAACCGGGGUGGGCCGUGCCGAAUCCAUAGCCAGCCCAUUUAACUAUAUAUAUAUAUAUAUAUAUAUAUAUAUAUAUAUAUAUAGAGAUANUAAUGAUUGGAGAGAAUGUGCAAGUUCCAAUUGGCAUCAAUUGGUCUAGUUAAUCGUGCAUAUCAUUUUGUUACCAUAUAUCUUUUUCUGUUUUUACAAUAGAGAAUAUAGUUCUCAUUUUACAAAUGUGAUAGCUAUUUGGUUAUUGAAUUAUCUGCAUAUCUAGUCUCUAUAUUAGUAUAUUACCACUUUUCUUCUUUUUUUUUCCUAUUUUUAUAGCAGAAAAUUAUGGUCUUAUUUUGUUUGUGAUAACUGACUGGUUAUUGAAUUUUCCAUUUAUACUUUUAUGAAUAUGAUCGCUUUCGUAGUUAUAAGUCAUUUUCGAUGAUAGAGCUUCCGAAUUGACGAUCCAUACCGUUAAACAUUAUCUAGAGCAUUUAAAAUUUCUAGAAAUCAAAUUUUUUUUAACUCUCCCUAUAAUAAUAAUAAUAUAGAGCAUUAACAUAAAAAAGAACCGUAGUUAAUUGACCCAUUUGUGCUCUUAUGCACGCCACCACAUUAAUCCUUAAUAAAGCUGGGCCAAACAGGUGCCAUAAGAGUCGCAAGUAUAGGGCGCAACCCUUUACUGAAUCGGACGCAAAUAAUUGCUUCUUACUCACGUGCUUAUGUACAAGCCAAAGAAUGCGAUAUGGCGACAGCGUUGGAUCGAUGGUUCCAGAAUGGAGAAACAGCAAGAAAGGGAUCCGAUUAAUCCGCAUCGGCCCCGGCCCACACCAGUGGCCAUGAUGGGUGUACCGCGCCAGCUCACACAAGCUGCUCCCAACGCCUCUUAAUUACACUCUCCCAUUCUCUACGGUGAUCAAGUUGCCCACGGCUUGAAUUACAAUAUAUAUAUAUAUAUAUAUAUAUAUAGAGAGAGAGAGAGAGAGAGAGUAGAGCUAGAAUACUUGUAAAAGUAUCACCCAAGUGAUAUUUGUGUGUUUUUAGCCCUUGGAUAGAGAGAUGUGAGGUUGAGAUGAUAGUGGUAGGUGGUGGUAGGUGGUGGUAGGUGGAAUAGUGUUUGAUCCAAGGAUUAUUAGUAAUCAAAAAGUAGAUCCAAUGGCUAAAAACACAUAAGUAUCACUUGGGUGAUACUUGUAAAAGUAUUCUAGCCCUACUCUAUAUAUAUAUAUAUAUAUGAAUUAGGCUGGAAUACUAUUAAUAGUAAAACGUUUUUUUUGCUAUCAAGUUUUUAACCUUUGGAUGAAAAAUUGUAGGGUCAGGAUGAUAUUAGUCGGUUAGAGUUGAGUGGUCCCCCUAGGGUUGAGUGGUCCCCACUGGGUUAUAGUAUUUAAUCCAAUGGUUAGAAAUGAUGAAAAGAAUUGAUCCAAAGGCCAAAAAACUGGUAGCAACAAUGGGAUUUUGCUACUAAUAGUAGCCCAGUCCAACUCUAUAUAUAUAUAUAUAGAGAGAAAGAGAGAGAGAGAGCUACUAUGCUAUCGGAAACAUAGAGGAUCUGAUAUUUUUCAUUUUUUUGUCCAUAGAUUAAUCCCUUUGAUCAUUUCUAACCUUUGAAUUAAUAUUAUUAUCCUAUGGGGACCACUCUAUCCUAAAAAUACUACUCAACCCUGGGGGAACCGCAAUCACCCCAACUGUAUAAUUUUUUAUCCAAGAGCUAAAAAAUCGAAAACUUCAAAUACUCUAUACUUCCGAUAAUAUAGUAGCUCUACGCUAUAUAUUAUACCAGUUUGUUAAAAUCAGAACGGCGAAAAAUAGAUCCAGAAAAUAACUUAAUGCAAGAAAAGAAAAGAUAAGGAAAUAACACACCGAUAUUUUCUUGUACUCCGCCUUUUUCGACAUUAAUAAAGUAUUUGCUCCGUCUUCGCCCGUGGACGUAGGCCGUUGGUAUAUAUAUAUAUAUAUAUAGUCCGGCUACUAUGCUAUUAAUAGCACGAAACACUUGGUGCUACCAAGUUUUCCGCCGUUAGAUCUACCCUUUUGAUUAUUUUUACCCGUUAGAUCAUACUAUUCAACCAACUACCCACUCAACCCUAGGGGGGCCCACAUCAUCCUAACCGCACAUCUCUUAAUCCAAUGGUCAAAAACUUGGUAGCACCAAUGACUUUGUGCUAUUAAUAGCAUAGUAGCUAGCCUAGUUAUAUAUAUAUAUAUAUAUAUAUUGUAGAUAUUAUGUUAUAUAUACCAUAAUAAUCAAUUAUGAUAUAAUUUUUGCGAGCUUAUCUAAAAAGUAUCAUACGGGCCAAAGAAGGCUCGAUCCUAUUCCUAAGAAAGAAAUGUUUAAUCUAUCUUUUCCGCUUUUUACCGCUAGUCAGGUUGAAACGCUAGCUAAAUCUCGUUGUCGCAUAGCAUUUGGGUUACUAAACUAAUUUUACUUCAUGAAAACUUUAUAUUAGAACUUGUAUUUUAGCUAGGUAGGGCUUAAUGGUUGUAUUUGAGAUCUCAAACUCGAAAUCUAGUCGCUUCUUAUUUGUAAUUGGGUUCAGUUUCAUAAAAAUAAACAAAAGAGAGAGUUUGCUAUCUUUCUCUCUCACAUAAAAUGAGAACUUACGUUUAGAUACAUUUAGUUUUACUAAUGGGUGUAUUAUAAUACAGUUCUUAUUCAAUUAUUAUGAUUUUUUUAGAGUUUUGUUUGUCAGAUAUGAGAACUUUUGAUUUAUCAAAACCCAAACCUUACAAGCACUAAAAGGCCGGGACAUGCAUGCAUCAGCUUUGCAAGCUAAAAUUGCCUUCCUGGUAUUCAUCCAUAAGACAACUAAUGAUCUAGAUUAACCCUAGACCUACCUUAUCUUUUCCUUUUUCUUUUUUUAAUCUCUUUUCCAUAUUCUCAUCUUUAAAACCAUGUUGCUACUCCUUUAUUCUUAUCCUCCCCCUCACGUUAUGCGCUUCCACUUCUUUGCAUGAACAAUGCUCCUUCUAAUUAUACUUUCCUCUUCUGCUUUGUUCUGAUGUCUAGUUCAUUUAUUCUCCAAUUGCUUCUCAUAAGGCUAAGUAUAUAUAUACCAAUUCGCAAAAGGAUUUUAUUUUAUUAUUUUUGUUCUUACUGAAAUGGAUAUAAAGAGAUGAAGAUGAAGGUAAUUAAGAUGAAGAGGGCAGGGCGAGAAUGAGAGAUAAUUUAAGUGCUUUGGUAAAAAAUUUUCAAUUACACAAACGGUACUUGUGAGAUAAUUAAUGAGGUUGACAAAUUUGUAACCAUUAAACCAAAAAAAUAUUAAAGAUCAAAUACAUAGGUGUAAACAUAAUUUAUCUGAGUUAAGCAAAAAUUCCCUUAGGGCUACUAUUUUGCACGGGGUGUUAAUGCAAAUGGCAACUUGUUCCUAAUUAUAGUUGUUGUGUUGGCGGGGGUAAUUGCAAAAAACAAAAAAAAAAAAAAGUGGAAAUGAUCCCUAACACGCAUGAGAUCAGUCCAUUCAUCAUUAUCAUGAUUUUAUUUCGAGUUUUUGGGCAUAAAUGAACGUGAUCUCCCCCACACUGGACCGAGCACUUGAGGGGUGAUAUACUGAUAUAUGAAUUAUUAUCUAUGUCACACCAUUACAAGCCUAUUAAAUAGCAUACGAAUGGGUUGGUGCAACUAGUAGUUAGCAAUAGUUUUUUUUUUUUUUUUUAGAGAUAGAAAGCACGCUAUCCGCUUCGUUUAUUUCAUUUAGAAAUAAACUUAGCUAGAAAUGUGAAUCAACUAGGAUUCGAACUUAGAUCUCGGGUACCAACCGCCAAGUCCUUUGCUAUUUGUUCUAGGAACGGCCGGUGUAGUUAGCAAUAGUUAAGAGCGAGUAAGAGAGAAAAGGUUUAUAGAAAAUGAGAGAUUAAAGAGAUAAUUCUUUAAAAAAAUAAAUCUAAACUAAGUUAGAUAAAAUUACAUUAAAAAAAUAAUAAAUUUUAAAUACUCCUCUUAUAAUUUUAUAUUUCCCCCCCGCCCCAACGAGUCCACGUUACGAAUUUGCUUUAUCCGACCCAACCGAAUCAUUUGGUGCAAACCAAGUCCCCUCUUUCCAGCCGAGCGAAAAGCGAUGGGCGCGCAAAAGCGAACGGAACUUCUCGGCAGCGUGAUUUCCCCCCACCGACCCACCCACACGCACACGUACUUUUCAACAUUUUCACAAAUCACGACACAGCGCGUUCCAACAAGUACCAGAGAGGCCCCAUAAUAAGUAAAUUACAUAAACAGGCACAAUUCUUAAAGAAAUUAUUUCUUGGACCACACUAUAUAAAUCAGGAUUUUUUCAAAAUUUCAAAUAUGUUUCAUAAUUACUAUAUAAAUAAGGAUCUUUCAAAAAUUCAAAUAUGUUUCAUAAUUACUAUAGUAGUGUAGUGGAGUGGUUGUUAUCUGAAAUACCAGCUUCUGUCACUUUAUUAGCACGUUUUCAAGCAGUGUGGAAAAAGAAAAAUAAAACCCAGAAAACUCUUUUCAUAAAUAUUUAUUUUUUUUUAUUUUACUUAUCUAUUUUAGAAAUUUUUAUUUUAUUUCUUAAAAAAUUAAUGUUAUAAUACUUAACUCAUUACUGCUACAAAUUCAUUGUUAUUCCCUGCAUAAACUAUACGGUACAACUGAAUAAAUACUAAUAUACUUAUUUAAAAUAUAUUUAUUUAAUAUGCAUAAAUGAUAACAAAAAAAUAAUUAGUAAAUAGUUAGAGAUUUCUUUCAUAAAAUUAAAAUCUCCUUCGAGAGAAAAUAUACAUUUUUUGUAUAUUUUUUAUAUCUUUUAAGCAUAUAAUGGUUUCUCAGUAAGUUUUUUGACUGCAUCAUCUAAUUUAUGCACAAAAUAGAAUAAAAUUAUAACAACACCGGACUAAGUAGUCCAAUGCUAAAUUUUCUAUAUUUUAACACAAAAAAAUCUAGUGGCAUAACCAUAACAAAUCCAAUAUAUAAGUGAGCAAUGUUACUUGCAUUUUUUUAAAAAAAUGAGUGUCUAUCUUAUAUAUAUAUAUACUCAUUAUUCAAGGGCCCAAGCCCAACCUUCUCAUGCUAGUUUCUAUCCAUCUUUAUUUUUUUAUACGAAAAAGUUUACAUAGUAACUAUGUUAAUCUUUGGAUAUAUAUUGUAAGCAUAUAAAAUAUAAUGAUAUAUUUAAAAAAUUCAAAGAUAUAUAAUAUAAAACAUAAAUAAAAUAUUUCAAUAUUGUAGAUUACAAAUAGUGGUUAAGAUUUAGGAGUAAUGCUUCUAUACUUUUUUUUUUUUUUUACCGUUUAUUCACACGUAUUCAACGGCUCAGAUUUAGUUUUUUUAAAAUUGUGACCUGCAAUAGCAGGUCACUUUGGGAGAGGUACAGGUUACCAGGUACCUCAAAAAAGGAUAUUUUUGUCUCUUAAUACAUAGGCAAUUUAGUCAUUUUACAUCUACUAUAUUUUCAAAAUUUUUAUUUUUUCUUUGUUUCCUUUUUCUCUCUCUAUCUUUCCUUUCAUAAUUUGGCAUUUCAUAUAGUAAAAAUUUCAAAUGAUUUGACACUAUGAUCAUUGAAUUCAAACUUUAAAUAGUAAUAUGAAAUUCCUCUAAUUUAAAUUUCACUUUUAAAUUUAAAAUUUAAUAUUAUAUUCAAAUUUAUAUUUUAAAAAUUUAAGUUUCAUAUAAAUACUUUGAAAUAUGGUAAACAGAAAUAAUUGUUUGAAUUCUAGUCUUCUGGUUUAGGUUUGGUUUUGGGUUUCGAAAAAUUGGUCAGUUUUGAAUUUGGAUAUGGAUUUUUGAAAUCCGUCGAGUUCGGAAAUAAGUUUUAUGAUUGUUAGUCAGAUUCGAAUUCAAAUUCCUAACUAUUUUUUUUCUCACCAAUAAUUCUAAUCUUUUUAAUUUAUAUGUUUAAAAUUAUAUUUAAAAUAUUUAUUAGCUCUAACAGUUAAAUUAUCAUUCUGUUUAAAAUAUUUAUUAUCUUUACCGGUUCCAAAUUGUUCUUAAUGUUAUUCGGUUCAAUAGGUUAAAAUCAGAUUCUUGAUAGAAUAGGUCAAAGUCUGAUCAGUCAAAUCAAUCGGUUCAAUCUAGUUUUUAAAUCAUUGAAUUUAAAAUUUAAAUAGUAAUAUGAAAUUCCUCUAGAGAAAUCUAGUUGUAGAAAUCUUACUCUCUAAGUUUUUUAUGCAUUACGUUUUAAACUGGUGCGAAUAAACUGUAUUUUAAAUCUUGGUAGAAAUUUAGUUUUUAAAUAGUAAUAUGAAAUUCCUCUAAUUUAAAUUUCACUUUUAAAUUUUAAGUAUUUAAUUUUUAAAAUUUAAAUUCAUCGUAUUUAGAAAUAAAACUAUUUCUAAAAUUUCUAUAAUUUAAAUUAAUGCAUAAUUUGAGAAACACUAAAACAUUUAAAGUAGAUUCCUAAAUUAAUGCCUAAUAAUUGCAUAAAUUUGGUUAAUCAAUUAAUUUCCUAAAUUAGUGCUAAUUAAUGCAUAAAUUUAGGACCUCAAUUAAAAGUUUCUUUAAAUAUUGUAUUAUUUAAUUACCAAACUAAUCUUGAAUAAAAUAAUCUUUUUACCUGCUAAGUAUUAAAGUUACAUUUUUACCCUCUAUUAAUCAACGGUUAAGAUCUUUUUUAUUUUUUUUUAAAAAAAGUACCGAAUCAUUUCUCAAGAUUUAGAUUUUAAUCCAAGGACCCCUAGAUUGAGUUUUUGAAGACCAGGGUGGAAGAACAGGGGUCCAUGUAAUAAUGGCUCCGUGCAUGUGCUACCAUUUUACAAAAGCAAGCACAUGGCCUCAUGUCAGAUGUCUACGAGACUACACACUUGCCCAUCCCAAAUUCCCAAUCUCCAUUUCAACCUACAGUCCCAUUCCCAGCUUUACUUCCCAUAAAUUAUCCCAAUAAAAGAUUAGACCAAUGCCGUACAGUUCUAGAUUAAAUGUAUAUUUUAUUUUAUUUUUUUUCUAUAAUCUAUUGAUGGAGAGAAAUCGCGGCUUAAUCCGUGGUGGCGUGAUUUGACCAGUUCACUAAUGACUUGGUUAAUUCAAUCGGGCCCACUUUUUGGCAGGUGCGUUCGAAUGUGUGUGCAUGAAAGCCAAGUUAAUUAGCCACUCUUGGGUACACAUUCCUAACUUCAAACCCCUUUGGCGCGUUGCCUCACUGAUGCUCAUUUUCGUCGGCAUCAACAAAACCCUAAACACUCCGUUUGAAUUGGGUAUAAGAGGAGGGAUAAAAAGUUUAUCUUUCCUCAUGUACUCAAACGAAAAAAUUAAGGGGUGGAAACACUUGUUCCUACCCUAUACCGGAUACGAAAAAAAUAAGAGGUGGAAACACUUGUUUCCAUCCUAUACCCGACUGUACCAUCCCCAGUACAAGAGAGAGAGAUAGAGAGAGAGAUAUUGUUAUUUUAAAUUUUAAUUUUUAAAAUUUAUAAUUUAUAAUUUUAAAUUAUAAAUUUUAAAGUUUAAAUUUUAAAUUUGAUAUUUUUAAUUUUUAAAUUUUAAAUAUGAUAUUUUAGUUUUUAAAUUUUAAAUUUGAUAUUUUAUAUCUUUCAAAUUUAAAUUUGAUCUUAAAUUUAAAAUUAGAUAUUUAAAAUUAAAAUUUUGAAAAUUAAAAUUUUAAAUUUAAUUUUAAAUUUUAAAAUCUAAAAGUUAAAAUUUUCAAUUUAAAAUUUUUAGUUUAAAAAUUUAAAUGGAUAAUAUCAUUAUUUUUUAUUUAUAACUACCAACUAUUCCACCUUUACUCAUAUUUUCAUCCAAACACAAUUUUUCUAAUUUCAGCUUAUAGCCUUAUACUCAUAUUUUUAUCCAAACAAAAAAAUAUCCUUAUUGCUAUGAAAAUUCAUACUUGUACCUAUUUUCGGUAUAACUAGUUCUUGCUUAUACCGAACCAACCGAAACCUAAGAUUCACAUCCACAAAUUUGUACAAGUAAUAACAUUUUCUAAAGAGAAAUAUGAUGUAAUUAACAAAUUGGAUUAAGUAUCACAACGUGGGAUAACGAGGAAACAUGAUAAUAAGCAGCAUUAUCACACAGUAAACAUCACCACCAAUUCAAAUUUUAAAGAUAUAUGUGCUUUACGAAAAGUGAAGAGUAAAAUAAUUUCGACCACAAUUGUCCACAUUUUUUGUACGAUGUAUUAAAACUUUUAUUAAAGUUCAAACUAUUUUGUCGGCGGGUUUGAGGUAACUUCCAAGGUCCAAAUUCUUUUUUUUUUUUUAUUAUUUGAUUUAUCCUAACUUUUUCUGCGAUCAAAAUUUAAACCUAAAUCGCAUAAUUAAUUAAUUUUAGCCCACAAUGACCGAAAUUACUUCAAAAAAUAUUCAGUUCCGCACCUCUAAAUUUUAGAGCUUUCAUUUAAAAAAAUACAAAUAUAUUGAAAGAACUUCACAACUAAAAAAACGGGAAAAAAAAUAAAAAUGAAACGUUUGGCUGAACUCCAACUCCUCCGAAAUUUUACUUUAAUCCGAACUCUGAAUUUCACCUUCCAUGCAACACAAGAGGGAAGAGAGAAGAAAUAGCAAUGCAAAGAGAUGAAAAGCAGACACGUUCUUUUUAACUACAGCACGAAAAUAGUAGCUUUAAAGAACACAAAAUCAACAACAAAUAGACGCCCCACGCAACGUCCAAAUGAGAGCCAAAAAAGAAAAAAAGAAAAGAAAAAAAAAACAAUCAACAAAAAAAUUAUAACGAUGUGAUAAAGUGCGCGAUGAGAGCUCAAAAAAGCAAAAAAAAAAAAAAAAACAGUAAAAAAUAAAUAAGAAAAAAAGAGAGAAGGAGAGGUACGCAAUAGAGAGAGCGCGAGAGAGAAAUCAUAAAGACGACGAACGAGAUGGUAAAUGGUCUCCUCAUCGGAUCCUUAGUAGAUCAUCUAACUCGUUUACAAGAACGUUGCGACGACGAGCACCGCCGAGGCCAGCGCCACCGUCGCUAGGGUUCCGGCGGCCCUCACGGCCGUCGCCGCCGCCUUCUUCACGUCGGCCUUGUCCGCCUCGGCUGCGGGCCCGUCGGCCGGGGACGACGCCGGGGUGGACGCGGGCGGCGCCGGCGGGGAGGCGUGGUGGGCGCGGUGCCGGGCGUGGGCGGGCGACGGGGCCUUCGCCUUGGGCGCCGGGGCGGGCGCCAGGGCGGGCGCCGGCGCGGGGGCGGCGGCGCCGGCGGGGCCCGGGGCGGGGGCCGGGGCGGCGCCGAAGAGCUCGACGGGGAGGAGGAGGCUGUCGACGGUGAGGAUGCAGACGGGGGUGUCGUCGAGGACGGUGGAGGCGACGCGGGAGGUGUCGACGCCGGUGACGAGGGAGACGUCGUCGCCGCUGGAGACGACGGAGAGGUCGUACUUGCCGGAGGCGCUGGAGGCGAGGGUGGAGAGGGGGCCCUUGGCCGUCUUGAGCGAGGACUUGGGGGUGUAGGAAGGGAGGGCGUGGUACUGGAGGAGGGCGACGAGGUCGGCGCUGGAGAGGGAGGAGAGGUCGGGGGCGUCGGGGGACUUGAAGGCGUCGUCGUUGGGGGCGAGCAGGGUGAGGCCCUUGUCCAUGGCGGCCUGGUAGAUCUUGAGGACGCCGGAGGAGGCGACGAGGGAGGCGAAGGUCUUGCAGCCGGCCUUGUCGAGCAGCGCGGUGAUGUUGGCGGAGGCGGCGGAGGGGGCGUCGAGCAGGCCCGGGAAGAGGAUGGGCGCCGACACCUCCAGCACGGACAGGUUGUAGGGGAUCUGCCGCACCGACUUGGUGUAGGAGGCGUCGAACUUGGCCCCCGGGGCGGCGGAGGCGAACCCCACCCGCCCCCCGCGGAGGUUGGUGAUGUUGACGAAGCCGAGGUCGCCCGGGGCGUCGCCCGUGGUCUGGUAGAGCGUGGUGGUCAGCGUGGUGCCGCGCGGCAGGUCGUGCAGCUUCUGCGGGUCGAAGUAGUCCAGCAGGUUCAGCAGCCGCAGCGCGUUCUUGAUCCCCCCCAGGCUCUGCUUCGACGCCAGCGCCGCCAUCGCCGCGUUCGGCAGCACCAGGCACGUCACCGUCUCCCGCGAGUCGAUCUCGUCGCACACCUUCGUCUGCGUCAGGUAGCUGUUGUACAGCGAGUACUCCGGGAACCCCUCCAGGAUCGCCGUGAUGUUGUGCCCCUCUGCUCCCCCCGCUAACAACACCACCGCCACCGCCACCGCACCCGCCGCGAUGAACAAUCUAAGAACAUCACAGGAGGAACCCAUAAUAAUAAUAAUAAUAAUAAUAAAUAGUUCACCUUUUUUUUCCUUUUUUUUCUUUCUUUUCCUCUCUUCUCUUUCUCUACAACAGCUCUCGAUCACUUCAAUGUGGAUGGAUAGAAGCGUGCGCACUAGUAGUAGUAGUAGUAGUAGUGAGUACAGUAGAUUGAGGGAGGGAGGGAGUGAGUGGGCUAGAACUUGAAGGGCCGGAGCAUGAUAAUAGAGUGAAUCAUAAAUGGGACGAGAUGAUGGGUUUGGUUGCUAGGGUUUAACCGUGGUUAGGGUAACUGCAUGGGGUUAGGUGGCCGAGUGCCCGGUACUACUAUAGCCACUGAGGACAGUGAGGAGAGUGAAGAGUGGGCAUGUGAGGUUGCCGAAACAGGUGGGGCCCAGCCGGUCUCUAGGGGAACGAGCCGUUGGAGUAGGACGACGCUGCUAAAAAUUGUCAUUUAUUCCUAGGGACGCGUGCUUGAAUUUUUCUAUGCGACAAUACGUUAUCUGCCGUUGGAUGAUCGUGGCCACAGGGUGGAGGACUGAGGAGAAGCACACGAACGGUGAUAACAUUUUGUCGUGCCGGGAUAGAGUAUGAGGAUGUUCGGAUAAUAGUUUUUGGAGGCAUCAACUGUACGUGGAGGAUUAGGAGGAGGAACGCGCCCUUCGGUCACAGCUGGAGAGAUUUUCCUUUUUCUCUCCCUUUUUUUUUUUCUUUUUUUCUUUUUUUAAUGCGUGAGAUCCGGUCACCCCCGGAAGGUGGCCUGGUCGGUGAUGUACUGCUAGUUGUGGAGAAGAGUUGGGCCAUGUUCAGCUUCGUUCAUCUCAAAGCCCAAAUGCGGCCCAAGAUUAAGAUUUGGGCUUUGAGCUAAACUUAACCCGAUUUGUCAAUAGAGUCCGUCCGUUAAGGCCUGGUUACGAGUUCUGGAUUCUGGAAAAACUAUACUCGUUUGGGUUUGUUUCUAAUCUUAUCUCAUUUGCUCUCUCAAGAUCUGCACUGUUUUCAUAGAAGGAAAGAGAACUUGAAUUAAAUAGUAAAGGCAAGCAGCUUAAUUGGGGAUGCUUAUUCUUUUCCUAAAUUAGAGUAUUUAUUUGGUUGUGUUAGAUCAAGCAGACAAGUGUAAUGGGAUUCAUUCUUCUUUUGCUUCUAAUGUAGAGAACAUCGAUCCAUUCCCCAUUUUGGCACUUCCCUUCUGGAACUUCUCCUAUAUGUAAUAGCUUUCUAAGCUCCAAUUGUUAUUCUGUUUGUGAUAACUGAGAUGGUAUUGCCUUUUUUAAAACAAAUAAGAUAAACUGAAACUGCUGUUCCAACCAUUUAUUAGUAAACAAAGAAUUUGCGUACAGAAUUUAAAUAACUUCUGUUGUAAGCUGGCCAUUUCUUCUUCACAACAGUAAUUACUUUUGUGCUCUCUUUGAGGCGGUUCAUCAAUGCCUAAAAUUGGAGAAUUCGUGCACAUUAAUUCCCUCGGGCUGCAUUCAUAAUACUUUUUGUUGAGAGGCCAAUCUAUUUGUACAGUAUAACUGGGCUCAUAAGCCAAUAUAAACCAAAUUUAACAAAUAACUAUCUAUAUAACGAACCUACCGUACAUAGCGCAGUUAGCGUAGUGUUUAAUAGUUGGUACACGAAAUUCUAAGUUCAAAAGAAAUGAAACAAAUAAUUUCCUAUAUAUUUUAUAUCAUAAAAGGUAAGGACCAACAGCCGACCCCGAAAGGAUGAGCGAGCAGCCCUGUCACGAGCCUACAGAAAAAUUUUAUAUAUUUGUCUUAAACGGGUCUUCCUGCAGGUUGACUCUUUUGUAUGAUGAGCCAUUUCUAGAUUAUGGAAUUAGGGCCGACGUACAAGCAGGCUGCAUGCAUGGUGGUCCAAUGCCCUGGCACUUGCUCACGCUCGUCACAGCCCGUGCUCGGUCGAGCCAUGCUAAUUCGUGCCCGGCCACAUGUCGGGCUUGCUGGGCCCCCCCACCUCGCCACCAGCCGAGUCGGGCUGAUCCACGCCGGGCCGGCAAGCCCCACACGGUUUCUCAACGGACGUUAAAGGAACGUGCUCGAUCUAAACGGUAGUCGAACGGCGGAGUUAAACGGCCUUUUCGAAAUUCGUCUUCAGCCCGGUUUUUUUUUUUUAAAAAAAAAAAGAAAAGAAAAGAAAAAGCUGACGAGCGUUCUGACACGUCGUCAGAGGCGGUCCUCGUCCGCCACGUGAUCGCGGAAUAAAAUUAUUCGAGCGAAUUAAAUAUAAAUUUCUUUUAACCCAGUUAUUUUCGCUCCUCUUUGUUUUUUUUAUUUUAUUUUAUUAAAUUUAACCCUUUCGAUAAUCGAUCUUUACCCCUCCACCGUUCACGCCGGCCCACCACCCGAGAUGUCGAUCCGGCGGAAUAAAUGGACGGCGGAUCCAGCGUCUCGUAUAAUGAUUUCUAUGCGAACUCUUGUGGGAAUAAAAAAUUUUUCUUUACCGUACUAUAGGCAGCUGGCCUCUGUCAGAGAAGAGUUGGUUUUACGCGGAGGCACGCGGAUUUCUCCAGUGAGACAAAUAUUUGGCGGACCAAGUACACCACGUCAUCGGUAGACCAACCUCUGUGGCUUUUCCACCGAGACUCGUACGAUGGAUACAAAUACGGUCUACGGAUGACCUGGUGAACUUGAGUCAGGCAAAUUAUUAUUUCCUUGGGAGCUCAACGUUACUGUAGGGCGAACGUUGCCCUUUGCUGAUUCAGGCUUUUCACGUGACGCAGUGAGCCACACUUCCACCUGCACCGUCCAAUUUGUGAACCCCAUAUUUACAGCUUGCCCAGUAAUAUUAUAAUAAUAUUUAUAUAUAAAUUUUGUAAAAUUUUAUAAAUUUGGUUCUAUAACUACAUUUGAUUUGUUAAGUAAUUGAUAUAUUUUAUAAGAUAAUAAAUAAAAUAUAACCACUAUAUUUUAAAUUUAAUAAAUAAUUUACCCAAAUUAUUUAUAAGAAUACUAGUUUUCUAAUUUGCCAAGCAACAAUUUGACGAUCGAGCAACGUAGUUUCGUGGGAACGAAUUUUACAAUGUAAAGCACAUUUGUUGAGUAUACGGUUGCAUGCAAUUUUGGAUAUUAUUCUUAUAUAUUAUUGACGAAGUAAAGGUAUAACAAUGCAAAAGUAAAAACAAAGUCAUUUAUUUGGGAGUUAUUUCUGGCUAAGCUAAACCAAUGAUUGACACUAUUAGUUUAUCCUAAAUUUAUAAAAUUUAUAUUUUAUAGUUUGUUAUGUUAUCUGUGUAGUAUUGAAGUCAUCUGAAAAUUGAUUAAUUUUGAAAGCUAAUACAAGAUGAAUUUAAUACUAUAUAUCUGAUGACUUAGCAAAUAAUAUCAAGAAAUUCUGAAAUUUGAAUCCGCGCGAAUAUGUUGAAAUAACAUGGAUCAUGUGUAGCAAUAUCAAUUACCAAUUAAGAAGCUUGGUUGCUAAAAAUAAUACAAAAAUAAAUAGCUCUAUUUAUUUUUAAAAAUAUUAUUAGAGCCUAACUUGUGUUGAUGUGUUUUAGUGUAUUUAAUACUAAAGAAUUCAAAUAAUAUAUAUUUGUUUUGAAACUAUUAACAUCUACAAUCAUAACUUUAACGACCGUUCCUAGAGCAAGUGAUAAAGGGUUUGGUGGUUGAUACCCGAGAUUCCAAGUUCGAAUUUUAGUUGAUUCACAUUUUUAGCUAAGUUUAUUUCUAAAUGAAAUGAAAUAAAUGACGCGGGUAGCGUGCUAUCUAUCUCUCAAAAAAAAAAAAAAUAAAUAAAUAAAACGUCCCAGGUGUUAACUCCACCGUUUUUGUUUCAUCUUUCUGAUAAAAAAAGAAAAAAAAAAAUUUAAAUAUGAUUCCUGUGGUUUCACAUUUUUUUACUUUAAUGCUCUAUAGUUUAAAGUGUAUCAAUUUAGUGUCCUGUGAUUUUAUUUUUAUCAUUUUAUUAUUAAUUUUACUAAUUUUUUUCGUUAAAUUAGUGAUAAAGUUAAAAUUAAAGAAUAUUAAAGUAAAUAUUCGAUAAACCUAGAUAGAUAUUGAAAAUUUUUUAUAUAUAAUUUAAUAAAAUAUUAACGAAAAAGCUGACGAACAGAUAAAAACGAAACCAAAAGACACUAAUUUAAUACCGUUUAAAUCACAUGACAGUAAAGUGAGAAAGUAGAAACAACAAUAGUAAUAUUUAAAGUUUAUCCAAAAAAAAUUAAAAAUGAGAAUAAUAAUUUAAUAAAAAAACCAAGUGUGUACUUUACUUGCGCAGGGAUAUCUGGUGCUAGAAAAGAAGGCAUUGAAUAUAACUGCUUUUGCUGUGUAAAUUGUGUCCCUGACCAUGCUAGGCGAUACAUUGUAGGUUUGCCGGCCUUAAAAUAAGCAAUCAUUAUUAGUUUGCUGCAUCAGAUUAGUUAGGCCUCUAGAAUUAGAACGUGUUCUUCAAAUUCAUCCACUUUUUUGAGAACUUCGUUUGAGUAGGUAUAAUUAACAAUACAGUAUAAUUAUAAAUAAAUAUAGUUAAAUAUAUAAUAAUUGUAAUUACAUUCAUUUUAUUUGAUUGGAUAUAAUAGAAAAUGAUGUAACUAUGAGUAAUUUAUUUAAUUAUAUGCAGUUGAAAAUAUAUUUUUAAAAUUAUAUAAUUUUAUAUAGAACGAGACUAGAAUACUAUUAAUAACAUCAAGUCAUUGGUGCUAUUAAGUUUUUAGCCCUUGGAUGAAUUAAUGUACGAUUAGAAUGAUAGCGGUCCUUUAAAAUUAAGUGGAUGGUUGGUUGAAUAGUAUGAUUUAACGGAUGAAAAUGGUCAAAAAGGUUGAUCUAACAGUAGAAAACUUGAUAGCACAAGUGCUUUUGCUAUCGAUAGCAUUAUAGUCAUACUCUUUUAUAUAUGACUGAAGAGUAAAGUAUUUUCUAUUUAAAAUAUGACCGAAGAGAUAAGUUUAUUUUUAUUUGAAAUUUCUCUCUUCAAUUGCAAUGUUAGAAUUACGGUUAAUUUGGGCGUAGUUUCAAUUGCUAUAAUUAUUCCUAGUACAGUAGUUGGGUCUCCUCAUAAAAUUUCAAAUGUAGCAAUUAAAUUCAAACGUAUUAAACCAAAUAUCGAAUUUAGAUAUGUAUAUAAUUACAACUACAGGAAAAUUAUAACUACGUAUAAUAAAAUAGCCCCUAAGUAUUCCACUGGAUUUUUCUUGGCUGAUGGUUUUCUCUCUGGUGUACUUCAAAAUAUAUAUAUAUAUAUAUAUUUUUGAGAGAUAGGUAUCACGCUAUCCAUUUCGUUUAUUUCAUUUAUAAAAAAACUUAGCUGGAAAUGUAAAUUAACUAGGAUUCGAACUUGGGUCUCAAGUACCAACCACCAAGCGCCUUGCCCCUUGCCACUUGCUCUAGGGACGGUCGGUAAGACUAUUGUAUUUUUAAAAGCACAACAGUUCUUGUGCUUCUAAUUUUCUAAACACACAUUAAAUUUAAUAGAUAGUUAAAAUGAGAAAGAAAAAAAAUAUUAUUUUGCUAUUAUUAUUUUAGGUUUUCUGUAUGUGAUAUGCAAGAAAAAUCAUAUCUUGGUAGAUAUUUCAUUAUAUAUUUCAUAGGGAAUAUAUACUUGAUCGACCUUAUAUUGCAAUUACACAUAUUUUUCUUUAAAAAAAUAUUAUUUUGCUAUUGAGCAACACUAUGUCCUUAAAAUAAAAUAUGAAUAAGUAAAGGCUUCAUUUGCUAUCUUGUUGGUUUUUAAAUUUUCUAAACAAAAUUUUAUGUAGCAAAAGAUGACGGAAUGAACGGUGGAUGUUAGUAAUUUUUUCAUCUAAAAUAUUUACUUGACAAUAAAAAACAAAAAUUUAAGGUCACAAUUGAUGGUAUAAUGUUUGUUUUUUGUUUUCUAAAUACUGAUAAUAUCAUAACUUAAUGUGUCGGAGGAAAAACUAUUUUUGUUGUUGUAGUGGACUAGCUUUAUAAUACAUUCCACUAAAUAAUAGAUAAUAACUUAUUUCAAAAAAACAUUAAAGCCAAAUAAAAUUAUUUUUUGUUUUUUGUUUUUUUGUUAACAAAUAAACACUUUAGGUGAGAGUAUUGCAAUCAAUUCGAUCUGUUCUAUUCUACACCUUUUGAUAUAUAAAUUUUGCUUAAAAAAAUACAAAGUAAAUAUGAUAACCUAAAAAUAAUUUUUUUGUUUUCGAAGUUCUUUUAAUAAGAUGUCAUCUAUUACUUAGUUCGAUAUAUGACAAGCUAAUCAACUACAACAACAUAAUAAAGUCUUUCCUGCAACACAUAAAACUACAUAAAAUUAGUAUUUAAAAAAAUAAUAAAUUGAUAAUAAUAUUAAAUGAGGUUUAAGUUUUAAACUUAUAAGAUGAUAAUGUCAAAAUACGCUUAAAUUUAAAGCUUUAUAGAUUAACAAAAUCUUAAUCAACUAAAAAAAAUAGUCAAAAAGUUUAUUUCAAAGCAAGGAUUUAAGUGCUCAUCGGCACGAGCCGUAUUUAUCGUGUCGUACCGUGGCAAUAAAAUAUUAGCACGAUAUAGUUUUCGUGCCAAUAGGCAAUAGCACAACUCAAAAUCUUCCAUUGUUUAAAUUAGUAAGUAAUUUUAUCAAUAAAGUUUAAAAAAUUUGAUAAAAAUAUAUAAUAAACAGUUAAAAUAUUUUAUUACUAAAAAAAUAAAUAUUUUAUACUAUUAUGUAUCGACACAUAUGGAUAUUUUAUAACCGAUACGUAUCGACGUGAUCCGUUAUAUACUGUAUCAUAUUGUACCGAUAAAUUUUUGGUACGAAUUUGCGAGAGGGCACUUAAAUUCUUGUUUGAGAGUCAAUGGGUCUCCAUAUAUUUUUUACAUAAAAUGAAAAAGAAAAAGUCUGACAAAUGUCAGACCAUUGUCCCUACAAGCUAAACCUGUACCGUACGUACGCACACAUGCUUCCUGCUUACCCAAACUUUAAACCCCCCCCCUCUCUCUCGUCUCAUCUAAAACACUUCUCUCCUAAAAACAAACUCCGCUCCGGAAUCCAAGCGACAGGGUUUUGGUAACAUAACGGCCGUUAUAACGACCGUUUCUGGCGGUGGGGGCGCUUCUUCUGCCGUUAAGUGACGGCUCACUUUUUCAAAUUCAAAUGAAUGUGAAGUCAUUAGACUCUAGGUAAUCAUUAGUUUUGGCUUAUGUACAUUACUAUUAUUUAAGCGGGUUGAUUCUGUGGAAAAAGUUGGUUUAUGUAUAGAAUGAUAUUUUAUAUUACAAAUAUAUCGCUAAGAAUAACGAUUAUUUUAUAUUUUUAACGUAUCAUUGAGAUUAGAGUUUUUUUUUAUAUUUAAUUCAAACUCAUGUCACCAGUUUAUUCAAAAAUCUCUAGCUUAGAUGCGGUGUAGAAUGUUGAAUUUAAAUAUAGACAAAUAAUUUUUUUUUGUAUCUACAAUUAUUGAGAAAUAAUAAUUAUUUUAUAUUUGUUAACAGAAUGAAUUUUUAUUUGCAGAUAUACUUUUUUUCAAAAAAAAGUUGUGCACUAGAUGCGAUAUUCACAAAAUGCUACAAAUAUUUUCAACACUCGUUAUUUGGUAAUAAGAAAACAGAAUAGGCCAAAACUUGCAACAAAUAAUAUUCGGUCAUUACAUUUAACAAACUAGUUCUAAUCUUCUUGUAAAUUAAAGAGUUGUUAGGUCAUCGGUACUGUUUAAAUCUUUCGAGGUUUGUUGUAUAAUAACUUGGUUUUCCUUUAUCGGUAAGUUCUUGGGGUACGUUUUGUCCCUUUAAAUUAAAAAUAAAAAAUAAGAAUAUGUUGUAGUGCAGAUAUAUAUUAUUUAAAUAAAAUUAGAAUAGAAAUGAAUACUAACCCUAUCUAAUAAAGACUUCAGGAUAAAAGCCUAAUGUGAAAUGGAGUACCAAAUGUGGAAUGCUUUAAAACGUGCAUUUUUUUUUUUUUUUUUUAAUUUUCGUACUUUCGAAAGUAGAGGAGAUCGUGUGUUUUUUUUUUUCUUUUUGUGUGUGUGUGUGUGUGUGUGUGUGUGUCACAAAUAAUAAGCUUGCAGGAGAAUAAUGCCGAACCUGAACAUCUCAAUGAAUGCAUAGUACAACAUUUGAAGUAGACAGUAAACAAUAAUGUAUUGUGUCCUGUUACUGAGGCUUAUUACUUCUUCUAAUUUAAUACUUCAUCAUGCAUUUUAAAUAAGUCUCAAAAGCAUGUAAACUUAAACCACUGAUUGCUGUCGAAAGAUCAAAAUUACCAUCAACACGUUAAACACUAUUGUCACGGUGACCAGGAUAUCUUAUUUAAAUUGGGGUUAGUCAGAAAUUUCGAAAAACUAAAAAGCAUUUUAAAAAAAGGAAAAACUUCAAAAACCUUCUUGCGGUUUCACACUUUCUCAUUUUAGUAUCCUGUGGUUUAAAGUAUAUCAAUUUGAUGUCCUGUGAUUUUAUUUUUUGAUUUUUAUUAUCAAUUUCACUGUUUUUUUCUUAACUAACGAUAAAGUUAAAAAUUAAAGGGUACUAAUAUGAAUAUUCGAUAAAUUUAUAUGGAUAUCUGAAGUUUUUUGUAUAUAAUUUAAUAAAAUAUUAACAAAAAAGCUGUCAAAAAGAGAAAAAUGAAACUAUAGGGCACAAAAUUGAGACACUUUAAACCAUAUGGUACUAAAGUGAGAAAGUGCGAAACCAUAUGAAUGGUUUUUAAAGUUUUUUUCUAAAAAUAAAAAAGAAUUUUAUAUAUAUAUAUAUAUAUAUAUAUAUAUAUAUAUAUAUAUNNNNNNNNCUCCCCAACCUAAUACUGCCAGUCUCAUCUCUCUCUCUCUCUCUCGGGUCUUGUCACCAGCUCUGCUUCCGUUAGCGGAGCCAGGAACAGCUUCUGCUGCUUCACGAAGCUAAAGAAAGGAAGCAGAAGAAGAGCAGCAGUGCGUUGAUGCUAACAACAGUACAGCCAUGGCCGAGGAAGCAUCACCUCCCUCCAAAGUCCCCCGCCUCUCUUCGGAUCCCAGCGCAGGUAAACGCCCCUUACAAUAACAUUUUCCACGCGAGAUCGAUCGAUCGAUCGAUCGCUCUCCUUUUUAACUUCUUUUGUGUUCGAACCACGUACGUUUCGGAUCUCAUCGCGCACUCGAUUCAAUUUAGGGGGAGGGGGAGUUGUAACUAUAGCGGCGGCGGCGGCGGCGGCGGCGGCGGCGGCGGCGCCGUUGGUUCUGGGACUGGGGCUGGGGUUAGGGGCAUCGGGCGGCGCGGUGGCUGCGGCGGCGGGCGCGCAGAACAAGGCGGCGUUCACGUUCAUGCAGCUGCAGGAGCUGGAGCACCAGGCGCUCAUCUAUAAGUACAUGGCGGCCGGCGUCCCCGUCCCCGUCCACCUCGUCCUCCCCAUCUGGAAGAGCGUCGCCGCCUCCUCCUUCGGCCCCUUCCACUUCCCCUCUCGUAAGCCAGCCCACCUCCCUCUCCAUUUCCUUCCGUGUACUCGCGCCUGAUUUGGGGAGUGCAUGCAUUCUGCAAACUCUAAAUAUUUGAAUAUGUUUUACAGUNAAUGCGCUCUGAUUGCGGCGCUGCCAAAUUAGGCCUGAAACAGUUUGCGUUGGGGGAAUGCAUGCAAUUGCCAGAGUAGUGUUAAUUAAUCAGGUCUUUAGUCGUUUUGAUGUGUUGUGCGUAUUGAUUGAAAUGGAUGGUGUGUUGGGCUGGGGUUGGGGGGGAAGUGAUGGGGUUGGGGAGCUUGUGCUAUGACUACAGGAACAGCAUGGAGCCGGAGCCGGGGCGGUGCCGUCGCACCGACGGCAAGAAAUGGCGGUGCUCGAGGGAUGUGGUGGCCGGCCAGAAGUACUGCGAGCGCCACAUGCACCGCGGCCGCAACCGUUCAAGAAAGCCUGUGGAACCACCACCAGGCGCAGCCCCCGCUCCCGCGCCUCUCGGCACCGGCACCGGCACCGGCACCGGCAACGGCACCGCUGGGCUCCAACUCAUGCCCGCCGCAGCCAAUUCUAGCGGCGCGAGCAGCAGCAGCGGCAGCAGCAACAAUGUGUCGCCCCACAACCUCGGAUUCUCUCCGACAAGCGUUCUCCACAGUGGCGCCGCGUGUAGAACUGGCCCCAUCUGAGGGACCUUAAAAGUUUUUAGUUUAUAGUGUUUAGUGUAGUAACCUCUAUAUUUUGCUGGCUCUUUUUUGGUUUGUAUUUUGGAUGUUUUGUUUUGGAAGAGUGGGGAGGAGCACAUACCAGGUGUUUGUUGGUAUGCGACUAAGGGAGCCGAAGCCAAGUGAUUUCCCUAUCUUUAGUUGUAGACCUGCUACUGCUGGGGCAAAUAUUGGAUGCCCUCCAUUGCCGUAUAUCUAUUUUUAUAAGUUUACUAUGGCACACUGUAACUUUAUAAGUAAAAAACAAAAACUUCUGAUAAUUUUUCUCUUCUUAAUUUACUAUGAAGGUUUAAGGUUUACAAUUAUAUUGUGAAUAUUAAGUUUGAUUAGUAUAUAUGAUUAUGAUGAUGGGGUUAGUAACGUUUCCUUCCUUAGGACAUGUCUGUUGGCAAUGGAGUUUCCAUGUUGUUAUGGGGUAGCAAUAAUCACCGCUAAGACCUGUCAGAAGCAGUAGUACGUGGGCACAGCUUUAGUUUGCGGGGCCAGCAAAUGGAAUGGUAGAACGGAUCUCAUGUCCCCUAAAAUUUAGCGCCUAUUUGGCGUCGCUUCUGUAAUAAUAAUUUUUGAAAAAAUAAUUUUAAUUUAGAGAAGUGAUUUUGGUUUGCUAAAUAUAAAAAUAUUUAAACCCUAUUUUCUAACCGUUUAAAUUUUUAGAGUACAACGAUUGUUUUACAUGGUAUCAGAGCAGUAGGUCCUGAGUUCGAGUUACGUCAGGCUCCAAGCAUAUUAAUUUUCUCUCAUUUAAUUCAAACCCACGUCAUGGGACGACUAAAAAGUAUCGAGCCCAAACGUGAGGGGAGAGUACUAAAUAUAAAAAUGUUUAAACACCAUUCUCUAACGGUUUAAGCUUUUAGAGUCAUAGUUAAAAGCUAUAGAGCAUUUGGCGAAAUUUAGAUAAAAGUGAUUUUUCUGAAAUGAUUUUAAAAUGUUGUUUGGCAAAUUAUUUUUGAUAUUUGCAUAAAUUAAUAUUUUUAUUAAAUUUUAUUUUAAAAAAAUUUAAAAUCUAAAUUUAAAUUUGAAUUAAAAUUAAAAUUUUUAAAUUUCAAAAUUAUACAAAAUUUAAAUUUUGAUAUUUUAAUUUUAAAAUAAUUUAAAAUUUUAAAAAUUUAAAAUUAAAAUUAAAUUUAAAUUAAAUUAUAAUUAAUGAAUUUUAAAAAUAUAAAUAUUUAAUAUAUAAAAAUAUAAAUUUAAAUUAAAUUUUCAAACUUUAAAUUUAGAAUUAAAUUUAAAAUAUAAUUUAAAUUUGAAAUUUAAAAUUUAAAAUUUAAAUGUAAAUAAUAAAUAAUUAUGAAAUUUAAAAUAUAAAAUAUUAAUAUUUAAAAAAUAUAUCUAAAUUUAAAUUUAAAAUUUAAAUAUUUGAUAAUUUAAAAUAUAAAAUUUAAAAAUUGAAUAUUUAAAAUUUAAAUUUAAAAAUUGAAUAUUUUAAAAUUUUAAAAAUUAAAAAUGAAUAUUUAAAAUUUAGAAAUUAUAAUUUGAAGAUUAAAAACUAUAAUUAAAAUUUAAAAAUUUAAAUUUUACAUUUAAAUUUUAAAAUCUAAAAUGCAAAAUUUAAAAUUAUCUUUAAAUUUCAAAUUGAAAUUGAAAUUUUGAAAUUUGAAAAUGAAAAUUUAAAAAAAUCUUAAAUUUGAGAUUUGAAAUUUAAAAAUUAAAAUUUAAAUUUAAAAAUUUGAAAUCUAUUUUUCAAAAUUUAAAAUUUAGAAAUUCAAAAAUGAAUCUGAAAAUUAAAAUUUAAAAUUAAAUUUAAAUAUAAAUAUUGAAAUUAAAAUAAAAAUAAAAAUUUGAAGUUUAAAUCUAAAAUCAGAAUCAGGUUUCAAGAAGCAGCUUUUUUCUGCUUCUGAUUCUGGGGCUUUCAAAAUCAGUUUUCUGAUUCUAAAAAGAAGAAUCAGAUUUUAAAAAUGAGUUGUUAAACGCUGUCGAAAAUUAUUUUUCAGUUCAAAAGCGCUUUUUAAAAGAUAGGCCGAACACCCUUUACUGUUGUCUGGUUCAAACUGAUCCAACCCCAAUUGACCCUACAAAAGUUGACAUAAAGUGGCUGGCCCCCAGUAGAUUGUAAAUAAUAACACGAACUCCUUGUAAGUGUCUGGCCCCCAGGAGCCUUUGAUGCUCGUAGGCCUGGGCCCCUGUCGGGCUUAUCAAGCUUAGAUUUUCGGCCGAGAUCAACGAGGAAUAAAUGAAAAUGGGCCGGGCCAUUAGCGAUCGACGAAUCCGCGAAGCAAAAGGCUUUUAAACGUGGCCCGUACGCUUCGGCGUAAUCUGAUCGACGAUUCAAGUGACGAAUCCCCCUCUCCCUCUCUCGUCGCGCACACGAGACACGACACGAAUGGCGGCGAGCGAGACGGCGAGCCGCGCCGAGAAGAAGCCCCGCUCCCUUUUCGAUCUCCCACCCGAUUUCUUCGACUCGUCUCGCCUUCUCCGUUCCCACCCUUCGCAGCUUCUUCUUCUCCCACCAUCCCCAUCUCCUCCCCUCUCCAACGCUUCCCGCAGCGGCAACAAUGGCGAAGGCCCCCGAGAGCUCGAUCCGAAGCGCGAGGCGAAGAAGGGGACGGAGCCCUCCUCGUCGAGGUGGACGUGUAACGCUUGUAAGGCCGAGUUCGAUUCGCUCCAGGAUCAGCGAUCCCACUUCAAGUCCGAUCUCCAUCGUCUCAAUGUAAUCGUACUCCCUUAUUACUUACGUGCUUAAUUCGUAGAUGAUUCCGUAUAUACUUCAUGUUCAACGUCCUCAGGAGUGGAAUUGUACGUAGGGCAACUGAAAACUAGAAAAAGAAUGCAUCUUUACUAGUUAGUAGUGAUUGGGGGCAAUGCGCUUGAUAGAGUGAUGCGAGGGAGUAAUCCUUUUUUUUUUUUUUCGUUAUCGAAUUUUAGAAAGUUACAUAAAUUGAUCGACUUGUUGCGUCUAUUACAAGUCCUAAUGGGAGGAAUUAUGCUAUGUUUCAUAUGGAGAACUUUAUUAUGUAUUACAUGUAUUGCACUUGUUUAUAGUAGAUUCUUAUAUUGCUCGAUUUUACGGAAAAGCAAUAAUUUUUUUCUGCCACGCUUCUGGAUUCAGAACAUUGUAUGAACCGUGAAUACGGUUGCUGCCCUUUUUCUUAUGCCUCCGUUGGCCUUCUGAAUGGAUGGAACACCACGAUAUGUUCUUUCUGAAUGUCUUGUGAUGAAUUGGUAAGACAAUUAUUUUCCAUUUGAAAAUUUGAAACUUUUUCUCAAAAAAAAAAAAAUGAAACUAAGGUACCUGUAUUAAAUUUAAUAACUAAGCUAAGGUAUAUUCUUAUUGCAAAAUUUGACUACUUGUUGUUACAUCAGUUUUCGAGUAACUUUGCAAUUAAAGGUCUUAUAUGACAAUUAUUGCAAUUCAUUGUUGCCUCCUGUUCUUCUCUGACCGAUUUUACAAUUUGUUUGUUUUUGCUCAAUUCAUUUCUUGUUGUUGCCCGCCAUUAGGUUAAGCUGAGUAAUGCUGGUAAAGAUACUAUAAAGGAAGAGGACUUCGACGAGUUGGGUUGUGACUCUUUAUUUCAGGACUUAGAAGUGUCAAGUAUAUCUGGUUCAGAAGAUGAGUUGGAAAAUGGACCUGCCCCCAACUGGGGAUCAUCAGGGAAAGGCAAAGAAGAAUUUAAGCGAAAGCUUUUUUUUCGUCUCCAUUCAGGAGAUACUGUUUCCCUCUAUAGAUGCUUGCUGUUGGAUGAAUCGGAAGAUCUGUUGUUUAACAGUAACAGCUCAGACCAUACGGGAAUCUCUGGACAUAUGUCAUAUGUGGAGGAGAGCGAGUUGAUUAACAGAUUGAAAUGUUUGAUAUCUGAGCCUCGAGAUAAAACACAUUUAAGAAUCAUCUUACUUACUAGUGGCGGACACUUUGCUGGGUGUGUUUUUGACGGAAAUUCUAUUUUAGCUCAUAAAACAUUUCACAGGUUGGUUAUAUACUUUCCUGUUCUCUCCAAAGUGAUAUAGUGCAUAUAUUAUCUAUGUAUACAAAUUUAUUUAUCUAUGUGUAUGCAUGAGAUGUAUAAUAUGUACAUCAGGUAAUGCUGCAUUAUUCUUUUAUAUGUUAGCUUAUAUGAACCACGAGUAAGAUCUUUAAGUUACUAGAUUUUUUUAAUAAAUGUUUAAGAAACGUAACGAUAGAAUUGAAUAUAAUCUCUAGUGAGUAAUUUGAAUGCAAAUGCAUACUCAAGUAUCGUUGGAUACCUGGACAUCUUGUGCUGUUGUUACUUUUGAUUCUUUUACCAAUAUUUUGUGCAUGUAUUGUGCCACUGUUUGUUGCUUUUACAUUAUAUUCAAUUCAUAGGUAUGUUGUGAGGGCAAAGGCUGGCAAGAAACAAUCUUCUAAAGAUGCAACUGGGAAGGCUGCACAUUCAGCUGGCUCAUCUCUUCGCCGGUACAAUGAAGUAGCAUUAAAGAAGGUUCAAGAUGUUUUUUACUUUCGAUCCUCAUGCUUCUUGUAACUAUAUUUUAUCCUGUAUGCCAGAUAUUCUGUGGGAAAUUAGGGAAUUUGCUAUUUUCUUCUGCUAGUUAAACUAAUUUCCUUUCAAUAGGCCAAAUAGUAUGUUUUCAAAUGUAUCAAUAUUCUAGACUUUUGAUGUUGCAUAGAUCAUAACUAUCACUAUGCAGAUAUAAACAGUAUUUUGGUACACUGAUGAUAUUUUGUAGUUUAUUUGUUUUGAUGUCAUGGGUUAAUAUUAAUCGCACUCUGCAGGAAAUUCAGGACCUAGUAAUUUCUUGGAAGCCAUACUUUGAUUCCUGCUCAUGUGCUUUCCUUUACGCGCCAUCGAGAAACCGUCAGAUGCUUUUUGAUGGGGGAAAGGCUCAGCUAAUUCUCCAGGGAUGCAAGAUUUGCAACAUUCCGUUGACCGUCCGUCGACCAACCUUGAAGGAAGUAAAAAGACUAUACAAUCAUUUGAUACAGAUGACCUAUGAGGUGGAUUAUACUGCUAGUGGGGAAGUUUUGCCUUCUAUUGCUGGUGGAAAUAGCGUUCAACAAUCCAAUGAUGCAAAACAGGGAAAGCACUUACAAAUCGAGGAGUCUAUUUCUAAUCCUUAUUCCAGUGUAGAAUGUAAAAUUCAACAUUCCAAUAAUAGAGAGCAAGAAAAGCUCCUGGAAAUUGAUGAUUCUAGUUCUAGAACAGUUUCCAAUUUAGAGUGUAAGUACGAAGCAACAAGCCAACCAUCUUUUGAAAGUGAAACGACUCCUCUACAUGAGGCAGCAAAGUCUGGUGAUGCUCAACGAACUUUGGAACUACUUGAGCAGGGUUUGAAUCCUUGUAUUAGAGAUGAACGUGGUCGGACUCCAUAUAUGUUGGCAACAGAGAAGGAAGUGAGGAACACUUUUAGAAGAUUUAUGGCACUAAACCUUGAUAAGUGGGACUGGCAUGCUGCCAACGUGCCCAGCGCAUUAACAAAGGAAAUGGAAGAGUUUCAGGCAGCAAAACAGGUUGGUUUCGUGUUUCCUUUUUAUGAACAAAUUUAACCGCAGAAACACUGGCAACAAUAUGAAAGAAAUUCAUUUAUUCUCUGGCGUGCUGCUGAUAAGUAUUAUAGCCUGAUUGUGUCCUCUGUGCACUGACCUAAUUAAGGCCAAAAAUUGAUAGAAUUCUGCACCUAUUCCGAUUCUUCAGUCUCUGAGAUUCUUAAAUAAAAAUAAAUGUAGCUGUCUUUUUAAUUUUUUUUUCAUAUUUUGGUAGUUGCAUGAUUGCAUUAUAAUUUCAGCAGUCUCAAAAUAUGUCAAGAGUCACUUGUUGAACAACUUUUUUUUUUCGGAUAUUCAGGCUGAGAAGGAUGCUAGAAGGAAGGCUAAAGCAAAAGAAAUGAAGAAAUUGAAGAAAGAAAAAGAAAAGGCAAAGGUACUUUUGUUCUGCUUACCUUUUUCUUGAGUCAAGCUGUAGUUCAUGAACUGGAGCGAAAAUCAAAUGAUAUAUUAGAGUGGAGAAGCAGAAUUAUUGUAGAAACUAUAUACAAAAUUAGUCAUUAAUAUAGGAUAUUGAAACGGAACUAGUUACUUUAUUAAUACCUUUUUGUAUUGGGAACUGCAGGCGGAAGCAUCUCUAUCCCAAAGUAGCCGACAAGUUGCUUCACAUAGCCCGGCGGUUGCUCCGAUUUCAGCUGCUAAGCAGCAGAAGCCACAAUAUGUACCGGCCGUCACCAUUUCAAAGGAGGUGAGAAGCUUAAGAAUGCAUAUCUCCUUCUAGAAUAGUUUAGUUGUUUUUUAUAAACUUCCCUCUCUGAACAUUCACUUCUAUAAUCAGGAGGAAAGGCAAAGGCCACUAGCAGAAGAGAGAGAAAAGAGGGCAGCUGCAGCAGAAAGAAGAAUAGCUGCUCUUGCAGCUAAGUCGACGAGCACAUCAUCAGCAACACCACAAGGUAGCUCUGAGCCCACAAGUGGAUUGAGUGAUCCUACUUGUUCAUGCUGUAAUGCUUCCUUGGCUGGGAAAAUCCCAUUCCAUAGGUACCACUAUAAAUAUUGCAGUACCUCAUGCAUGCAUGUUCACAGAGAGAUGCUCGAGGACGGAUAAACAUGAUACUCUCAUCUUAAUUUGUCUUCGACGUUUCAAUGUAUUUAAAUGUUCUCAUAACAGCACUGUGGCAUUGUAUCAAUGUAGAGGGUCCAAAACUCCAGUGCUUUAGGACCGGCCUCUUCAUACUGGGGCGGGUUUAGCUACUGUAGUCUUUUGGAUGCCCUUUAAUAUAUUUCACUUAUAAAAACACAAUCACUUUUAUUUUUUAGCUAAAUUAUAUAAAACCUCUUUGUCAAAACUCGAAUUUUUACUUUCUCCUCCUGUCAUUUAAAAUUCUAUACUUCGUGCCAUUGUAAAAUAAAAAAUGUUUACAGGAGGUAGUGCGAAAUGUGAUGAUAAAAUGACUAUUUUUUUCCUCACAAUUUUCGUCUUCUCCCUCAUCUUGUUCAUCUGCCAUCUCGAUCAGCUGCGGUUCGCGCUUCGAUCGGCCGUGGUUCCUCUCUAUUUUUUUUUCUACCUACUUUCCUUCGCCUCCUGCAUCCUCAUCGUCCCUCCAUUUCGGCGACAGUAGAGAAAAAAUCGAGGUGAGUGUGGAUGGAAAGGUGAGCAAGAGCAAUGAGUGCGAAGACGAGGCGGCGGAGGAGGGCUAGAGGGUGUUUGUGGGCGUGGAUGGAGAUGUGGGCGAAGGCGAGGGCAAGGGCGAGGCAAUAAAGGAGGGCGAGGCGGAGGAGGGCGAAGCACAGUAGAGAGGGCGGAGGAUAUUUUUGGCAUAAAAAAAUAUUUUAUAACGAAAUCCUAACGGAUCACUAACGAUAGGGAAUGAAGUAAACAUUUUUCAUUCUACAAAGGGGCAGAGUGUAGAUUUUUAAAUAAAAAGAAAGGAAAGUAAAAAAUCGUAUUUUGACGAAAAGAUUUUCUGUAAUUUAGCCUUAUUUUCUUAUUCAUUUAAUGAUAUUUGUCAUGCACUUUAGUAUUUACGUUAAAGUGUUAAUAGUGUUCGAAGGGAAAGCGAAAUCUUAUACAUGCCAUUUUUAUUUACCUUAAAAUAUAACUUUUUCGAAAACUAACUAUCCAUUUUGAUCAUCCUGCACAAAUGUAAACUAUUGCCUUGUUUGCAAUGUAGAAGUUUGAAUCGCAGCGGGCCAUUUACGAGUGACUCGGAUCAUGUCAAUCGGGACCGUUUGCCAGAAUAAGUUAUUAUAUGAGAUGUAACGCAAGAGUUAUACAGGAUAACUAUCGCCCCUAAAAUUGCUUUAAGAUUUAAACAAGCAUUCUAAAAAAUAAUUGGAGGUUCCCUAACUUAGGUUCAUCCCAUACUCCAGCAUUUUUUGUUCAAACAUGGUUUCAAGGAGUCCCAAAUUUAGCUUCCUAGCGCUGGGCUAGUCAACGGUCUCUCUCCUUUUAUAAACCUCGCCAACGUAUGUUCCAGCUCAAGAGGAGUCAACGGUCAACCCUUCAACCAACUCUCGCGAUCACUCACCCGAGAGGCCUCGUGAACCCUCCCGAUCUCGUAUUAACUCCGUCCCUUCUCCUCCGUCCAGCGUUUCCCAGUUGGUGUUCUCUUCCUUCACCACCAUAAAACCCCACGUUUCCACCCGUGACCUCUUUACACAAAAGCUAAGGCUCCUAUGCCUCUACACCCAUCACCCAACCACCCACACAACAACAACAACAACAGCAACAACAACACCUACGUAACACACCACAGAUCUCAAUUCCCCCCCUCCUCCCCCUCUCCCUGAAUGCAUGCGCACGUAAAAGACAAACGGUGCUCCUCCGGCCAAAUUUGGGUAGCUAGACUUACAGGGGAAUUGAUUCCGAAUGGCGACCGGCGGCCCCUCGACUUCGCCGACCGGCGGUCGCCACCACUUUGUGGACAUCCAUCCGGUGCUGCACGACGAUGCGAGCGGAGGCUGCGGCAAUCUCGGGAAGCAGCAGACCAGCAACCCUGUCAAGUACCGCGGCGGCAGCGGAGAAGGGGAGAGAAAUGCGGCGCUGCACAGACCCUUCAGCCGGCAGGUCUCUCUCGAGACCGGCGUGUCCGUGCUCAGCAUGCAUAAGGAGCAAAAGGGUGGAGGCGGCAAGAAAGAGGGGCCGAGUGGUCUGUUACGGAGCGGCAAGAGCUUAGGAGUUAUUCGAGAUAGCCGCAGCGGCUGCGAUCCCACCUCUCGGAAGGGAGAUUUCAGUAUCUUUCGAACCAAAUCAACUCUAAAUAAGCAGAACUCGUUGCUUCCAUCGCGGAGGGAGAACGACGUUGAUUUUCAAAACAUGGAAGGCGUGUCGGCAAACCGUCAAGAGGAAGACGCCAUCAACAAGAGCGUCCCCGCGGGGCGGUACUUCGCAGCCCUCCAAGGGCCGGAGCUCGACCAAGUUCGGGUGCGUACGAAGAUCAUUUCCUGGAACACGUCCCAUAUAUGCAAACGCAUUAAAAACAUUUUUUUUUUUGUUUUGCACGCAGGAUUCUGAGGACAUCCUCCUCCCGAAGGACGAGGUGUGGCCGUUCCUCCUCCGGUUUCCGAUCGGGUGCUUCGGCAUGUGUCUCGGCCUCAGCAGCCAAGCGAUUCUAUGGGGCGCGCUAUCGUCGAACCCCGUGAUGUCGUUCAUGCGCGUGAGCCCCUACAUCAACCUCGUGCUGUGGCUCCUCGCACUCUCCGUCCUCAUCGCCGUCUCUGCUACCUACACAUUGAAAUGCGCCUUCUACUUCGAGGCCAUCCGCCGCGAGUACUUCCACCCGGUCCGCGUCAACUUCUUCUUCGCCCCAUGGAUCGCCUGCAUGUUCCUCACCAUCGGCCUGCCGCACGCCUUCUCCCCAGAAAGGCUGCACCCCGCAGUUUGGUGCGUAUUCAUCGCGCCCGUGUUCGUGCUCGAGCUGAAAAUCUACGGGCAGUGGCUGUCGGGAGGGAAGCGCCGGCUGUGCAAGGUGGCCAACCCGUCGUCGCACCUGUCGGUGAUCGGCAACUUCGUUGGCGCGAUUCUCGCCGCGAAGGUCGGGUGGGGGGAGGCCGGGAAGUUUCUAUGGGCCAUCGGCACCGCGCACUACCUCGUCGUGUUCGUCACCUUGUACCAGAGAUUGCCGACCAACGAGGCGCUGCCUAAGGAGUUGCACCCGGUGUACUCCAUGUUCAUCGCCACGCCCUCGGCGGCGAGCAUCGCGUGGGCCACCAUCUACGGGCAAUUCGACGCCGUCGCGAGGACCUUCUACUUCAUCGCGCUGUUCCUGUACGUGUCUCUCGUCGUGCGCAUCAACUUCUUCAGAGGAUUCAAGUAAGAUUACAUUUCUCUCGGUUUAAGCUGCGUGUUACGUAUAUACAAUUUCUAAUCAUGCAUGAGCUACGGUUUCGAAUCAUGCAGGUUCUCGAUGGCGUGGUGGUCGUACACGUUCCCGAUGACGACGGCGUCAUUGGCGACGAUCAAGUACGCGGAGGAGGUGCCAUGCUUCUUCAGCAAAGGGCUGGCGCUUAGCCUCUCGGUGAUGUCGUCGACGAUGGUGUCGGUGCUCUUCGUGUCCACGCUCCUCCACGCGUUGGUGUGGCGGUCGCUGUUCCCCAACGAUCUCGCCAUCGCCAUCACGAAGAGCAGGAGCGCCGGCGCGGGAGCGAAGCAGCAGGCGAAGGAGAAGAAGCCCCAGAGGAGGACGUACGACAUCAAGCGCUGGGCGAAGCAGUCGCCGCUCGCUCUCGUCUCGUCCAUCACGAAGAGCGGCCCCGGCGAUAAGGAGGAUUCCGCGGGAAACUAAUAAUUAACUAGUAGGAGGUGGGAUCGAGGUUAAUUAAAUACUGUAAUUCUUUUUCCCUUUAAUUUCUUCCUCCUCCUCUUCUUCUUCUUAGAAUCAUCAGUAUAUUUAAUUAGCUGUUUAAAUGAAAUAUUUUGACCCCAAAAAGUUGUUAACUGCAGUGUUCGUCUUUCCUUAUCUGUCCUUAACUCGAAAUUAUUUGCAAGUAUGCUAUGCCUGCUUGGUUAUAUGCCUCUUUGGUUCAGUGAGCAGGAUCAGGGGCUAUAGUUUAGACAGAGUACCUCUAAGCCGGACAAAAAUUUGGUGGGCAUUAUUCCCAAACAACGGAUGGGCGCUGCAUGGCGUGCGGCGCUCAUCGUGACCGUCAAAAACGGGAAAAAAAAAAAAAAAAAAAAAAAUCGGUGGGCUUCGUUUUUUAGAAAGAGAGAGAGAAAAAGAGCAAAGGGGCGGGGUUGAUGGGCGCCCUAUCAAUUUUGUACAGUAAUAAUGAACAUGAAAUUACGAGAUGUUUGAUUAGAUGUAAUUAAAAUUACAUAUAGCUGGAAAGAUAUGUAAUUGGAGAGACAACAAUAUUAUAUAUAUAUAUAUAUAGCUGGAAAGAUAUGUAAUUGGAGAGAUAACAAUAUUAUAUAUAUAUAUAUAUAUAGUACGUCUCCCGUGCUUUCGAAAGUACGAAGGCCUCCGUACUUAUAAGUUGUUUUCAAUGAUAGGACAUCCGAUUCAACGAUCGAUUCCGUUAGGCAUAAUCUAUGCUAUUAGAACUAUUUAGAAACCAAAUUUUAUAAUUUUUCGACAUUAUUUACUAAGCAAUCACAGGGUCUCAAAAAUGACUAUUUUAACGGCCGAUGUGACACGUUUUUAAGUUCAACGGUGUAGAAGUAUUCAAAUUAUAUGAACUUUAAUAGAAAAUUCUACUUAAUAUCAAGAGCAAGAAAAAUACUUUCAAUUUGAAAUUUGAGUCCUUUAUCACUAUUUUUUAUAGAAUUUUUAUUUUCAGCCGUUCAUUUUGAGGCUAUUCGUUCAUUAGGCAAACAAAGUAAAAAAAUUAUGAAAUUUGGUUUCUAGAUAGUUCAAAUAGCGUAGAUCAUGUUUAACGGAACCGAUCGCCGAAUUGGACGUCCCAUCAUCGAAAAUAACUUACAAGCACGGAGGCAUCUGUACUUUCGAAAGCACAGGAGCCUAGCUCUAUAUAUAUAUAGAAUUAGGCUACUAUACUAUCUAUAGUAUCAAAGCUCCGAUACUAUAGUCUUGUUUUUGAUUUUAGGGUGUUCAAAUUAAUGAUCCAUACCUUUAAAUAUGAUCUAGGGUAUAUGAAGUUCUUAGGAAUAAAAUUUUAGUUUUUUUCGAUAUCGUUUACUUAGUAAAUAAAUUAGAGUGGGGCUACUAUGCUAUCGGAAGCACGGAGCCUUCCGUGCUUCUAGCUCGUUUUCGAUGUUGUGACUUUCGAAUUGUCGAUCAGCUUCGUUAAACUUGAUAUAGAGUAUUUGGAGUACCUAGAAAAUAAAUGUUAUUAUUUUUCGAUAUCAUUUGCCUAGUGAUCGAAUAGGCUCAAAAUCAACAAAUUUCAAUGGCCGUAGUGAGCCGUUUGCAAGUUUAACGGUGUAGAAAUAUUCAAAUCAAGUGAAAUUUUGAGACAAAAUUCUUUAUACUACAUAAAACAAGAUCAAUAUCUUUGAUUUAAAAUUUUAAUGUUAUAUUAUUAUAUUUUGUAAGAUUUUUAUUUUCAGCCGUUGAUUUUGAGCCCCUUCGUUCACUAGGCAAAUGAUAUCGAAAAAUCAUAAAAUUUAUUUUCUAGAUACUUCAAAUACUCUAGAUCAAGUUUAACGGAGCCGAUCGACAAUUCGAAAGUCGCAACAUCGAAAACGAGCUGGAAGCACGGAAGGCUCCGUGCUUCCGAUAGCAUAGUAGCCUCACUCAAUAAAUUAUAUCAAAAUGGACGGUGGAAAUUGAAUAAUCUUUAAAAUUUGAGUAUAGGACUUUUAAAUUCAAGAUCAAGAAUGUUGACUUUAAUCUAGAUAGUUUAAAGUAUUUUCUAUCAAAAUUUGAAGAAAUUUAGAUUUUUCUACACCGUUAAACUCCAAACUUGCCAUAAUAGUCAUUGAAAAUUGACAAUUUUGAAAUGGUUUGAUCAUAAAGUAAACUAUGUCGAAAAAAUAUAAAAUUUUAUUUCUAAAAACUUUAAAUACCCUAGAUCAAUUUUAACGGUGUGGAUCGUUGAUUUGAACACCAUAAGAUCAAAAAUGAGACUAUAGUACCGGAGCCCCGAUAUUAUAGAUAGUAUAGGAGACUAGCUCUAUAUAUAUAGAGUCUGACUACUAUACUUUUAUAAGUAUUGGCUCCUUUAUACUCAUAAGUUUUCGGCCUUUAAAUUUAUUCUAUUUAUCAUUUCCACCCGUUAGAUCAUACUAUUCAACCAAUUAUCUACUCAACCCUAGAGGACCACUAUCAUUCUAAGUGGGGACCACCAUCAUUAUAACCACACAUCUCAUCAAUCAACGGUUAAAAAUUUAUGAGUACAAGGGGGUCUACACUCAUAAGCGUAUAGUAACCCUAGCAUAUAUAUAUAUAUAUAUAUAAAAUUGAGCUCCUAUACUUUUAAAAGUACCAAGUCAUUGGUGCUUGUAAGUUUUUGGCCCUUGGGUUAAGGGAUGUGCAGUUAGGAUGAUGUGGGCCCCGUAGGGUUGAGUGGCUGGUUGGUUGAAUAGUAUAAUCUAACGGAUAAAAAUGAUCAAAGGUAUAUAUCUAACGGUAAAAAAUUUACAAGCACCAAGUGCUUGGUGCUUGUACAAGCACCAUAGCCGGACUCUAUAUAUAUAUAUAUAUAUAUAUAGUCCGGUUAUUAUACUCUUAUAACUGCGAUCGCCUUCGAACUGAUAAGUUGUUUUCGAUGAUAGAGCUUUCGAAUUGACGAUUCAUACUGUUAAAUAUUAUCUAGAACAUUUAAAAUUUUUAGAAAUCAAAUAAUAAUUUUUAAACAUCAUUUAUCUUACAAUCAAAAGGUCAUAAAAUUGACAAUUUUUAACGGUCGGUAUGAGAUACUUGCUAGUUUAACCGUGUAAAAGAAUUGGAAUAGGUUGAAUUUUUCAUAGAAAGUUCUAUUCACUAUCUAGAUAAAGAUUAAUAACUUCGAUCUUAAAUUACAAGAUCCAAUCAUUUAUUUUUAAGACGUCGUUCGAUUUUGAUCGUUCAUUUUAUGCCCUCUUGAUAGACUUUAUUGUGUUUUCGAAAAAUUAUAAAAUUUAUUUUUUAGAAGCUUCUACUACUUUAGAUCAUAUUUAACGGAGUGGAUCGUCGAUUCAGAAGCUCCAUUAUCGAAAACUAUUUAUGAGUAUGAAGGGCUCUACACUUAUAAGAGUAUAGUAGCCCUACUCUCUCUCUCUCUCUCUCUCUCUCUCCCGCUAUAUAUAUAUAUAUAUAUAUAUAUAUAUAUAUAUAUAUAUAUAUAUAUAUAUANAAUAUAAUUUAUACCACUUAAAACAUCUAAAAACCAAAAUUUAUUUUAUUUUCCAUAUUGUCCUCUUGUCCAUUAAAUGGACACAAAAAUAAACGGUUGAAAAUAAAUAUUCUCUAAAAAGUGAUAAUAUGAGUCUUUAUAAUCAAGAUCGAGAGUAUAAAUUUUGUUCUAAAUAUUUUAAAAAGUUUUUUAAUCAAUAUUCAAUUAAUUUUGAUAUCUUUACACCGUUAAACGAUAAAAUGACUCAUAUUGACCAUUAAAAUUACAAAUUUUGAAACACUUUGAUCAUUAGGUCAAUAAUGUCGAAAUGAUUUGAAAUUUAGUUUCUAGAUACUUCAUAUGGUAUAGAUCAUGUUCAACAAUACCAAUCGUCGAUUUGGAGACUCCAUCAUAAAAAACAAAUUGAUGGUAACGAAACCCGUUUGCUAUUGAUAACAUUCCAGCUCAACUCUCUCUCUCUCUCUCUCUCUCUCUCUCUCUCUCUCUCUAUAUAUAUAUAUAUAUAUAUAAUGAGGCUACUAUACUAUUCACACCAUUAAAUAUGAUCUAAAACAUAUGAAGUUCUUAUAAAUAAAACUUUAAUUCCUUUCUACAUCGUUUACUUAGUAAAUAAAUCGUACCAAAAUAAACAGUGUAAAUUGAACAAUUUUAAAAUUUGAGGAUAGAAUUUUUGAAUUCAAGAUUAAAAAUGCUAAUAUUGAUUUAGAUAGUUUAAAGUAUUUUCUAUUAAAAUUUAAAUAAAUUUAGAUUCUUGUACACCGUUAAAUUACAAACUCGUCAUAGUAGUUAUUGAAAAUUGGCAAUUUUGAAAUGAUUUGAUCAUAAAAUAAACUAUAUUAAAAAAAUAUAAAAUUUUACUUCUAAAACUUUAAAUAUCUUAGAUCAGUUUUAACUGGUGAAUUGUUGAUUUGAACACCCUAAGAUCGAAAAUAAAAUUAUAAUAUCAAAGUUCCAGCGCUAUAGAUAUUAUAGGAGCUUAGCAUGCUCUCUCUCUCUCUCUCUCUCUCUCUCUCUCUCUAUAUAUAUAUAUAUAGGCUAGUGCUACUAUACUUUAAUGAGUAUAGAGCCCUUCAUACUCAUAAAUUGUUUUCAGUGAUAGAGCUUCCCAAUCGACGAUCUACUCCGUUAAAUAUGAUCUAGAGUAUUUGAAACUUCUAGAAAAUAAAUCGUAAUUUUUCAAAAUCAUAAUCAAAUUCAUCAAGCGGGUAUAAAACGAACAGUUAAAAUCAAACGACAUCUUUAAAAUGGAUGUUCGAAUUCUUCGAUUUAAGAUCAGAGUUAUUGAUCUUUAUCUAUGCAGUGAAUAGAAUUUUCUAUCAAAAAUUCAACCGAUUUCGAUUCUUUUACACCAUUAAACUAGCAAAUAUUUCAUACUGACCGUUGAAAAUUAUCAAUUUUGUGACCUUUUGAUCAAUAGAUAAGUGAUGUCGAAAAAUUAUGAAAUUUGAUUUCUAGACGUUUUAAAUACUCUAGAUAACGUUUAACGGUGUGAAUCGUCGAUUCGAAAGCUCUAUCAUCGAAAACAACUUAUGAGUACGAGGGCGAUCGUACUAAUAAGAUUAUAAUAGCCGGACUCAUAUAUAAUACUAAUAAGAGUAUAAUAGCCGGACUCAUAUAUAUAUAUAUAUAUAUAUAUAAUAUAUAUAUAUAUAUAUAUAUAUAAAUAUAUAUAUAUAUAUAUAUAUUAUUUAACCUUGGAUGAAAAAUUGUAUGAUCAGAAUGAUAUUAGUCGGUUAGAGUUGAGUGUCUCCCUAGGGUUGAGUGUCCCCACUGGGUAUAGUAUUUAAUCCAAUGGUUAGAAAUAAUGAAAAGAGUUGAUCCAAAGGCUAAAAAACUGGUAGCAACAAUGGAAUUUUGCUACUAAUAGUAGCCCAGUCCAACUCUCUCUAUAUAUAUAGACACACACACACACACACACAUAUAUAUAUAUAUAUAUGUACGAGCUACUUGCUAUUAGGACCACAUCAGUCCUUGUGUCUCCUAACUUUCUAACCACCCAUCAAUUUUGAUCGGUGAUUAGGAUGAGAGGGAGAAGAAAAAUUGGGAUGAAAUUGGGUGUCUCAAGUUCUUUUUUUUUUUUAAUGAAUUUCUCUCCAAUUUCUCUUUUCUCUUUAUCUAAUCAACAUCAAAAUUGAUGGGUGGUUAGGAAGCUAGGAACACAAGGGCUGUUGUGCUCCUAACAGCAGAGUAGCCGUACUAUAUAUAUAUAAUAUAUAUAUAUAUUAUAUAUAUAUAUAUAUAUAUUAUAUUGGUUAGAUGCGAUAGAAAGCGGUGUAAUUAUGAAUAAUUUAUGUAGUUGCAUAUAGUUGAAAAGUGUGUUUAUAAAAUUUUAUUGCUUUAUAUAAAAAAAUUAUAUUUAAAACACAAUUAGGGUUGUACGCUUAUCUUUUAUUUAAAAUUAUAUUUUUUAACUAUUGCAGUUGAAACUAUGAUCAAUUUGGACGUAAUUUCAACUGUUGUAAGUAAACCUCCUCGAUUCCAGCAACAACAGUUAAAGUCAAAUGCAUUAAACCAAACACCAUAUUUAAAUAUAUAUGUAAUUAUAAAUACAUACAUCCAAACAAUCCUUUACUUUAUAUUAAUACUUUGCUUCGAAGGAAAAAAAAAAAUUUAAAGCAUCAUCUAGAUUCACAAAUGUGAGAAAAUUAGAUUUUCCUAUCGACUUCUCGCCAAAUGAAGAAAUAAUCAUCACACACAAUAUAUGAAAGGAAAUUGAGCUUCGUGUAUAAUACCUCGUGGAAUGAAAUUUAGGGGUGCAUCUUCAAUCUGAAUCGUCCCAUAGUACACGAAUUAAGGUUCAAUUAUUUAUAUCAACUAGUACUAAUUAAGGUUCGUUUAUUUAUAUCGCGCACGCGUGAACCCUAUCCGGUCACCUCACCUUUCGUUGUUCUUGCAUUUCACUUUUUAUCUAAAUAAAUGGGACAUGCUUCAAGCAACUUGUGCACACGAACCAACUAAAAAAAUUUCAUAUUAUAGUGUCAAUAAAUCAAAAACACAUUCCCUCCAAAAAGGGGGAAAAAAAAAGACUGCCUAAUUCCAACCCAUUUAUGAAUCAGGUAGUCGAAAUGAAGAGAUUUUUCAAUUUAACCUGAACCCAACCCAAUACCACCGAUAAUUCUAGGUAAGUUUGGAGGGAUAGCAUAAGAGAAGUAGGUGUUAGAAACAUGUACAGCGUUGAAAAAACACAUUAUAUAGCAUAUACAAAUAACGAAUAGUUAGUUAAAUACAAUGAACAAAGAACCCGCAGUUUCUUCUUAGUUUAGAACAGAAGAACAAGAAAAAAAAAAAAAAAUUCCUCUAUUUUCUUUCGCAUUUGUUACCAGGAACUACCAAGCUGAAUCCCCAGCCGCAUACAGGACAUUUACUCCACAACUCACGUAAAUCAGAAGCCACAGAACCAUAAAAAAUUCAAUUGCCAAAUCAAUUUCUCAACGAUUCUGAGGAUCUAUAGCCUUGAAAAUAUGGCGACUAACUAACCUCCUCCUCAGUUUGGAGCGUUUGGAGAGUUUUCUUCGCGUAGAUAGUAAUGGCUGCAGUGGCAGCAGCUGCUAUGAUGAAGCCGAUGAUAUCAUAUAUGAUCUGCUGCAAUGAGAGGAAACCACCCUGAUUUGUUGCAUCCGCCAAGCUACCAAGCAAUCUCCCACUGUUGUUGCAAAUGCAGGCAGCAAAACAAACAAAGAAUGUUAAAACUUGGGAUUCGCAAUACCAUUUUCACUGUUCACAAGAAUGCGCAAGUAAUCUAAAUUAUGAAGCAACUGGAAGAGUAAUCUAAAUUAUGAAGCAACUGGAAGAAGACAUCAAUUUAUUAGUCAAUAUUUGAUGUAAUUCGCCACCAAGACUACUUUCUAUCAGUUAAAAUGUAUUUAUUACUUGCAAUGGCAUCAUAGAUACAAAGCAAAAGUAGCUUUUGACAUGUGAUACCGGCCAGCGCAAUCUAUCAGAUGAUUUUUGCAUUAUCUCAAAAACAAAAGUAAACCAAGUAUCAAAGAUAUGCAAUAGAAUGGAAAAGUGCAAACAUGAUGACAAAUUGUUAGGACAUGGCUCCAAGAUCUUCACUGUUAUCCACUUUUUAACAACAGAUGCAAUCUGAUUCAUUGCGACACGUACAAUUUCCAAAUGAAAUACACUCUUCGUACAACCAAGGUUAGAGUCUUACAGGAGAUAUCGCUCAACGACAAAAAAUAAGUGGCAGUACUUCCAAAACCUCAGAGUCCAAUAAGGUACUUCACAUUUUUCAAAACCUCAGAGUCCAAUAAGGUACUUCACAUUUUUCAAAGAAAAUUUUUGAUUGCAUACCAAGUAUCACAGAAUUAUCUAUCUUAAACAAACAUCAGUCAGUUAUUAUGCAGCGUAUCGUUAUAAUUUCAAGGAACAGUAUAUCAGUCAAGAUGUAAGUUACAUACGUGGUGUGAUUCCAAUUCCUUAUUAAGAGCACUAACAUCUUAGAAUGACAGAUCAACCGUAAAUCUCUUCAUGAUAUGUUGGAAAUACAUGAAUAAUUACUCAAAAAGUGUGGACAAUAUCGAAUUAGGUUAGCCGCUCUCAAAAGUACAUAUGAAAGAAAAUUGUGAGGCAUCAGAUAAUGAAAGUGCAUCAAGAAUCUCAAGUAUUGUGUAUGAAACCAUAUGCAACAGAGCUAAAUGCCAGCUUAACAACUAAAUGCGUCAUGCUUAGACUUCAAAUUCUGAAAGAACAAAAAACUCAUUGCCAACAUAUUUUGAUGGUAUCUCAUAAAUAUCUUAGAGAAAUAUGAAGACAACAGCAGACCUGUAAAUUGUAAUAAAAGUUUCGUGAACUGUUCCAACCAUUGAACCACAUAUAUAAGGACCAUAUCCAACAUUUGUAGCCACUGAAGCAUAGUUGAAAACAAGAUAUGGAAAUGGAGAAAUCCUGAGUAAUGCAACGGCUCUAAAUUGAUGAAACCAAUCUCCUUCACCAGCCAGUCUAACAAUAGUUGCUUUCUUCGGCCACUUUUUCAGCCACCUCUGUACAAAAAUCACCAAAGAAACCAAUGUGGUAUCGAUUUGCAGCUAAUAAGAUUCUAAAGAAAUAUGUAUUAGUUUGAAAAACUAGAGACUAACUUGUAUUCUACGACGAAAGAGAGAACCAAUGAAAAAUGGCAAUGACAUGCCUAUGCUUAUGGCUCCUGUAAUCAACAAAAAGCCGUAACCAUAUCCGAAUCUCACUCCUGCUAUCCACAUACAAGGAGAGGAAGGUACCAAAAGAGCAGGAAAUAAUGCAAUUGAGGUAAAAAGUAUUAGCCCAAUAACCGGUGUGCUAAAAGUAGUCAUCUGCCAGUCCAGAAUUGGUAUGACCACCUGCCAUGAUCCACAACAUCACAGAUUAGGUAAAGAUGAGAAGGAUGAAGUCUCAAGGUCUUUUCCACAAACAGAAAAGUUGGGGAACAUUACAUAGAUAACAAACAUAUAGUGUAAUCCAGCAGCAACGAUCUUAAUAAUUGAAGUUGAUGUGACUGUACCACACAUUGGUUUUUCAAAUAUAAAUUCUGAGGCGACAAGAAAACUUCCUCUUUUUUUUUGGCAACUAUGCUUUUUAUCUACUAUUUUCACUAGGUUCCAACUAAAUCUACAAAAACUGUGAAGGUUUGCUUCCUAGUAGCAUAAGUCUUCAAUGAAAUACAAACCGCACAGAGCAGUGAAUGAUCAACAAGUCCAUAGACUCUAUGCUAUUGCUGGUGAAGAACUUGCUGUAUUUUCUAAUCUCAAAAUGCCUUGUUCAUAAUGGUAUUCAUUAGUUUGGUAUAAGGUAUGCCAAACUGCACCAGCUGGCGCUUACUAUGCGCCCACUGAGCAGCUAAUGACAUUGAAUAUACUACAAUUAGACAUGCCAAGCAUGCAGACUUCAUGCCAAAGAGCUACUGAUAAUUCUUUUGAAAUGGAUUCACUAACAUCAAAGAUAAAAAAACGUAUAAACAUUAGACCUCGCCAAAGGAUGUUGCCGUUUAAGUACGUUGACUAUAUCUGUUGUAGUAGCAUUUUGUUUAGUUUCAUAUAGAAAGAGUGAGACACUGCCUACUUUCUCAGUGAUUGUGUAUUAUGUAUGAUAGAUCUUCAGACUAACAGAUGAGUAAUGGAAGAAUCACCAAGGAGAAAACUCAAAUAGUUAUGCAAUGGAGAGCAUGCAUAAUUGCAGCUGAAGGAGCUUAUCAAACUUUCUCCCUAGGUCCAAGCACUUUCUCCCUAGAUCCAUGCUUGGCAAAUUAAAAACCUAUAAAAUGAUUCAUGGUCAGUAGCUUGGGACCUUCUAUCCCUGAAUUGUGUUUCAAUUAACAAUUUGUUAUCUGGACCUUUGAGACAGCCAUGACACAUUUAUCUGUAGUUAACAACUGUCCCUUUUAUGGACCCUUAAAGCAAGAAAACAUGGCUUGUGGCAACUAAGCUGGAUAGGCUUAAGUCGCCACAAUAAAGGAAACAUAAGAUGUAAGGUCAUCAUUAAAGAAGGAGAAUGAAAGAAUGUUGUUACUAGGAGUGCAAGCCAUAAUGAUGCUUAAAAUCUUCAUAAUGAUCAUUGACAACGUAUAUUCAAAGUAGCAAUAAUACUAGAUGUCAAACAUAAAGACCUAAAAAAAAAGGGAAAGAAAACCCAAAUUUCCCACCGUGUAUUGAACAUAAAAGACAAAAACCGUGAAUUUGUAAUAUGGGAACUACUUGCCAAUCUUCAACGUAGACAAAUAUCCAUUUACAAGAAAGCAAGAGUAGAGCUCAUUUACUUUUUAGCCUAGAAAUUGCCCCUAUGGCCUCCAGCAAUAUUUUGAUGCCACAAAACAAAAUCGUAACUGGACAAAUGCAGAAUACAAUUCUAAUCCAGCAUAGAAGGAAAUAUCGGAUACCUUUUGGCAUAACAUGCGGUCAGUAGGGAUGCACUUGAAUUAUUUGAGACACGGCAAGAACAAGAUUUCAGUUUAAUAUCAUGGAUAAAAGUUAUUUAGUUUGCCAUAGACAUGUCCAGAUAAAGAUCUCAGAGUGCAGUUGCAAGAUUAAACAAGUUGUGGGCAAAUCAUAAGAAAAAAGAUGUAACCAAUAUGAUAUCUCGAUAGUUUGUGAAAGCAAGCCUAAGAGGUUAAAAGAAGACAGUAUCAAUCAGUCAUUGCUAUAUAUGCGACAUAAGUCUUUAUUUAUCAUUGCUGGAAUUUAGAACCCACAAAUGAGCUAUCCAUCCAUGGUUAUUUUCACAACACUUUGCUUCUGGGAAAGGCAAUUCAGCUUGUGGCAUAAUGAUGCAGCAAAUAAACCUUUAUUUUAUUUUUAAAUGUAAUUUUCUUUUAUUUCGUAAGUAUGUGUUUGAUUCGGACUUAAAUCGUUUAGUUUUAGUUGAUUUGGCUAACCCAAACCCUUAUCUCAGAUAAAUAUUGAAACAAUUUCAAAAUGACUUUUCAAAUUUUUCAAAAUUGUUUUGUCUUUUAUGCAUGACCCUUUGGUGUCCGUGUUGUGUUGAAGACAAAAGGAUAAUAAUUUAUUAUAGGAUGGGCUCUCAACACUAUAAAUAUUUGGUUCUUAAUGCUUUGAGGGCAGAUUUUGAUGAAUGAAAAUUUCUACUCUUGUUCUUUAAUCUUGCUGCGGUGUUCUUCUUCCUGGUGAGACCAACGACGCUUCUUCCUCGCACCGAGAUCGUUUUCUUCCUCAACUUGAUCGUUGUCGCUUCUUUCUCGUGACAAAGUCGGCUUCUACUUCUACCCCUUCUCUUCUUCUGGAUUCUAGCCUCAUCAUCUUCUUCCUUAUUGCCGAAGUUCUACUCGUGGUGUACCACCCUCCUUGUCGAUCAUGGAUCCCCCGCAAUCGUGUAAUCGGUGCACUUUUUUGUAUCUCUCAUCUCCUAAUAUCCUAAUAUUCCUUUCAAUCUAGCCUUCCACUGUUACCAAUCAUAUUUGCCAAAAUAACCAAAUCUAAAAGCUUUAAGUCCGAUAAAAUCAAAUUUACUGUUUUGGAACUAUUAUACGCAUUUUUCAGUUGGUUGUUAUCACCUCAUAUAUUGAAAUUUUAUUACCAUAUUAGUAUUGUUUCACUUCGAUUUUAAUUUUCCGUUGGACUGAAAUUUUUUUGCUUCCUUACUUUAAUUAUAGUAAAGUUCGUAGGAAUCGAUAAAUUAAACCUAGUUUAUUGCAAGAAAUAGCUUUAAACAAAACAAAGUUAAAAAUUCAGUUUUGACAAUCUCUUGGUUUGCAUCAUAUAACAAAAUAUUUUCGUCGAUCACUAUAAUACAUGCACAAUGAAUUAUUUUGCAAAAACAAGGAUUGGCAAUUCUCAGAUAGAUAUCUAACGGCAAAAGAUAACUAACACGAAGCAAAAUUGAGAUCAUACAGUAACAUAUACAGAGGAACAGCGAACCUAAACAACUAUUCACAAAUCUCAAAACAAUCAACAAAAAUUCAAACCAAAUAUACCCUAGAUCUCCACCACAUCGAUUCAGCAAACCACAAUUUAUCUGAAUGAGGAGAAAAGAUUAUACCGUUUUGAUAAUCACAGGGCCAGCAUAGAAGAGCAACGCGGCAGCGGCGGCCAACAAGAAGAGGCACAAGAAGAUCACCUUCACCCACCACCGAAUUAAGCCCCAUUUCCGCUGCGCGCACGGCGAAUCCAACCCCUCAAACCCGCCGUUCUCCAACACCUCCGAUUCCCGCAACCCAACAUAGUCCCCUUUCCCAUCCCCCGUCCCCAUCUUCGACUCCCAAACCACAACACCAUCCACGGAUUCCCCCCGAUAGGUCAUCAAACGACGUAAUUCGAUCCACAAACCAUCAAUUGCUCCCCCCCCCGCCGCCCCCCAAAAUAAAACCCCAAUUUAGGGAUCGAGAUCCCGCAUUACAACGAAAAAUCGAAGCAAUUUGAUCCCCCGAUGCCCGACAAGGAGGACGAGGAGGAUGAGGAGGGGGCGGAGAAACCCUAGCGAAGCAACGGCAUUGGCGGUGACCUAAAAGGAGGGGGGGAGGGGGUGGACGGAGACGGAGACUAUAUUUACCCUUUUUUCGGUAUAGAGAAUGUGGAAGUGGAGGGUGCGAACAUCGGAACUGCACACGGCGCAGAUGGAGAGAUUCGAAACUCACUCGAAAAAGGAACUCGCGAAAGAAACGAACGUGUGGGCCCCGCACGCCCGCUUCGUGAUGACAGGUUGGGUUGUGGUCAAAUUUGGGUCCGAGAUAUUUGAGGUGAUUUUCGAUGCAGUGGACGGUUACGAUGGAGACUCGAACUCCGACGGUCUAGAUGGGGAGCACCCGUCCUUUCGUAUUUAUUUAUUUAUUUAUUUAUGUUAAAUGUAUGGAGACACGCUCCACUGUACAGUCAGUCUUCUGAAAUAGACACAUUUCAAAUUUCAAAUUUUUUUUUUAAGUUAAUUAAUACUCUGUUAUUAGUCCCUAUGUGGAAUUUUACCGUUUAAUUAUCUGUUGUCGGUUUAUUAAUAUAGUUUUAUGGGAAAACUUCAAAAACUCCCCUGUGGUUUCGUAGUUUCUCACUUACCCCCUGUGGUUUAAAAUGUAUCAAUUUUUUCCUAUGUGGUUUCUUUUUUCUCUUUUUCUUAUCAAUUUCAUUAUUUUUUUCUUAAAUCAGUGAUAAAGUUAAAAUUAAAGGGUACUAAAGUGAAUAUUUGAUAAAUCUAGAUGGAUAUCUGAAGUGUUUUUUGUAUAUAAUUUAAUAAAAUAUUAACGAAAAAGCUACCGAAAAGAUAAAAAUAAAACCACAGAGGGGCAAUUUGAUACAUUUUAAACCACAGGAGGGAAAAGUGAGAAUCUACGAAACCACACGGGGGUUUGAAAUUUUCCCUAGUUUUAUUUGCUAUAAAAUAAUUUAAACUAUUAAAUUUGAUUGGCAAUUUAUUUUGUUAAAAGUUACCCAAUUCGAAAAAAUUGUUAGAGUAAAUUUUAUUUUAUUUAUAUAUCCAUAUUUUUUUGUUUUUUUUUUUUUUUUUUUUUUUUUUUUUGACGAAAUGUUAGUUGAGAAAAUGAUAAAAAGAGAAAAAUAAAAUUAUUGGAUACUAAAUUUAUAGUAGGGAAAACUUUAAAAACUCGCCUGUGGUUUCACACUUUUUUAUUUUAGUAUCUUGUGAUUUAAAGUGUAUCAAAUUAGUACCCUGUGGUUUCACGCUUUCUCAGUUUAAUACCCUGUGGUUUAAAGUGUAUCAAGUUAGUACUCUAUGGUUUUAUUUUUGUAUCAAGUUAGUAUCCAAUAAUUUUAUUUUUAUAUCAAGUUAGUAUCUUGUAAUUUUUAAACCACAGGGUACUAAAGUGAGAAAGUGCGAAACCACACGGUACUAAAGUGAGAAAAUGCAAAAUCACAUAGUACUAAAAUAAAAAAGUACAAAAUUACAGGACACUAACUUAAUACACUUUAAACCACAUUGUACUAAAAUAAGAAAAAGUGAAACCACAAGAAGAGUAUUUGAUUUUCCCUUUAUAGAAAUUAGCAUCAAAGCAAGUGGAAAAUUCUCAUAAAAAAUAGACAUUUUCAUGAUCUCGAUAAUAUGUAUAGUUCAUGGGUGUCUGUUUGAAUUACUUUAUUUAUUUAUUUUUUAAAAAAGUUAUUAUUUCUGGCCUACAUGCAAACCUUUCACAAAUGACGAGGCGUUUCCAGCAAAAAUGCACCCACUCUAAGAUGGGUGGGAGUUAGGGGUGUAAACGAGCCGAACACGGCUUAUUUAACAAACGAGACGAACACAAACUGGCUCGUUAAAGUAUCGACUCAAAAAAUUCAGCUCGUAUUUGUUUCAUUAAUAAACGAGUCGAACACGAGCCGGCUCACGAGCUGACCAACGAACAAUAAGUUAAAAGGAUUAGAUUGAAUAUAUAUAAAAAAUAAAUUUAUAAAAUUUUAUUCAUUAGACUUUCAUGUAAUAAUUAAAAUUUUACAUAUAAAUGAGUCUUUUUAUGAUUGAGCUCGUUUUUAUAUUUUUAUUUUACUAAAAAUUAAAUAAUAAAAAUAUAUAUUAUAUAUAUAAUUAUUUAUUUAUAUAUAAAUAUAAAUUAAANCGUGUUCGGCUCGUUUACUAAACGAGCGAUUCGAUCUCGAGCUCAUUUCGAGUCGAACACGAGUUGGCUCGUAAAUAGCGAGCUGGAUUGCCACCCAUCGCACUUUCUUUAUAAAUAACUAACCAUAGUCAGAAUUGUAAAUUUUAAAUGUAUAAAAUUCUAUGUUGACAAAAAAAUUUUUAAAAAAUAAGGUUCAAUUAUUAUUUUUUUUUGCCCUUUGGAGAAACUUAAGCAUCUCAACCAUAGUCAACCCAUAGCCAAUCUCCCGCUCUGUAGCUGGUCCAACUCCUGUCGGCCCAACUAUGUUGGCUAAGGGCCCAUUCCAAAAUUUAUCAGUCCAAGUCAUACUCCAACAGUUGUGCAUUAAAUUUCGGUCCAAAAGAAUUUGAAUAUAUAGGGAAUUAAGUAAUUUGUAUUUAAAUAUUUUGAGCUCGUUGUUUAGGUACAGCAAAUUAAAUAGAUGCCUUAUAAUUAAUGAAAAAGAAAUUAGUUUUACCGUUAAAAGCAUAAAAGCUCACCAAAUCUCCUUCCUUAAUUAUUCCCAUUCUUCUUCUUGUUUUAUUUAAUUCUUUUCGACUGCUACAUCACCAUUAUCGAUUAUCUGUGCUUUUGCCCUGAUUCUUACGCUGCAGUUGAGUUAGCCGUUGUGAAAGCAAUCUGUUUUUGGUCUCGGCUUUAACUAGUGCAUGAAUUGUCUAUUAUAAUUUCACGAUUAGAGCCUUUUAAACUAUAAUGUAAUGUGCUUCAAUUUCAUGUCACAUUGCUGGAUCAAACAGCUAGAGACUUGAUCUUUCUACGACGAGUAGAACACGAAUUAGUUGAAUUCGCGCGCGCAUGCACUUGCUCAGAGACCGGAACCUCGUCGCAGGCACAAAGUUAAAAGAAGAAGAAGAAGAAGAAAAAAAAACCAUCGAUGAGGCGAAAUCACUCGGCCGCAGCGAUCCACCUGGUGCCGAUCAUCGCUCUGGCGAUCAAUACUGGAGCUGGCCCAUCAUGGUGAUAUCUCUUCUAUUCUUCGUCAAUUGAGUGAACCCAGUAAGUGGAUUGCACACGCUUAACUAUCAUUCCAUACCUACUGUAUAUGUGCUCUCUUCAUUACUCUCUACCUCUCUUCUUCACCUUUUCUCUCUCUCCCGGCCACUUUCUACGCCCUACUGAUGGUAAUACUUUUCACACCAAUGCUCCUCCACCUCCUCUAGUCUGAAUCACUCUGUGCCACACAGUUGUCAUAUAUAUUUCUACAAACCAACAUUUGAUUAGAUGACAUUAGCAUUUGUAUUACAUCAGCAAAUUAAGGAACAAUACUAUAAAAACAAUUGGUGAGUAUUAUAAUUAUAAAAAAAAAUAAUUAUACAACAUGUCAUGCACGACAGUUCUAGUAUAUAUUGGCUUAUAGGAGUCAGCAUUUUAUUCCGUGACGGGAGGUUAGGUUGCGAUGAGUCAUGUUUGAAAUGACGAAAUAUCGGGUUGAGUCGAGUCAUGUUCGAAGUGGCAUGAGAUUUAUUUAACCGAGUCACUAUCGAGACCGGUGAGCGUUAUGUUUUGGUACGUUUUAAGUUGAAUUAAUUGUAUAUUUCUAAUAGCUCGAAUUUUUAGAAUUAAUAAUAAUUAACGCCAAUAAUUUGACAAGUGGUGUCAGAGUCAGAGAUCACAUGUGCAUGCUACGAAUUUGUACAGAUGUUGAGAAAAAUUAUUGGCUUAAAGGAGUCAGCAUCCUAUCCUAUGGCGAGAGGUCGGGUUGAGUCGAGUCAUGUUCGUUUGUGGCGUGAGACUAGUUAAACUGAGUCACAAUUGAGAUCCAUAGACGUUGUAUCUGUACGAUUUAAGUAAAUUGAUUGUUUGUUUCUAAUGACUCAAACUUAAUUAAUGAUUAGCGCCAACGAUCCGACAGUAUAGUCCAAACCCUUACCAUAUCACUACAACAAAAACGGUCUAUAGCAACACUUUUAAAUGUCGGUAUAGGUCAAAAAAAGUGCUGCUGGCUAAAUUACAGACACUUUUAAAAAGUGUUGCUAUAUGUGAGGUCGCUAGGUAUAUAGAGACAAUUAAAGAGUGUCGCUAUAAUAUAAAAAGAGUGUUGCUAAUUUACUAAUACUUAUUUAAGCAUUAAUUAACCUCCGAAACUCUACCUCGUUGGCUGCGGUGGCGGAGGAGGACGAGAGGGAAGGACUCUUCGUCUAGAAUUUCAGUGAUUUGAGUGAGGGGAGAAGGGGAGAUGGUAAUCGAUUUUUCUUUUUUUUUUUCUUUUAUGUUUGUAAUCGGGCUAAAUGGGCUGAAUGAGGUAGGUCGAGUAGAGUAACCUUUUAUUUUUGGUUGGAUUGGGUUUUAUAUUUAAGUAUUUAUAAAUAUUUUUUAAAAUUUUAGCAUAAAUGGGACACUUACAUAAAAAUGUUCUAAACAUGUAUCCCAGUAACCUAAUUAUAUUGUAUAUGACUCUAAAGAUGUAGCAUAUUUGUCGAGACUGAGUCAAACAUUUCGAAAAUUUUAAGCCUAUAUUGAACCUACAGUGAUUAGUAGCCUAUUUUUGCGAGUAAAUUCCUAACAAGAUGACUUUACAGCAUUUUAUAUUUAAUAUUCUCUUUUAUGUUUGUACUUACUAUUUUCAAUAGACCGUGUAAGAGCUAAUUAAUUAAGAUGUGGUCUUAAGAGAGUAUAUAUAUAUAUAUAUAAUAGAGAUAUAUAUAGCUUUGGGAGUAGGGUGUGCUUUUCUUGCUUCAUGCAUGACUUUUCAUGAGUAAAGCAUGUUAUUUGGUUCACUCAGAGGUUAAAAAAUUGUGCUGAUCGAUGGGCUAAUUACUAACUACCUCUCUUCUUGCAAUUGUCAAAUCCCUCAAUAAUUCACAGCCAUUAUUCCCUAUAAAGAAGCAAUGAUAAGCCAUAAUCUAAAGAGAGAAGCUUGAGGGUCACACACACUUAAAAAGGGCCACGAGUAUACACAAGUGUAUGCUACACAACCGUUCCUUUCCUUUUGUUCUAUUCGUUGUGGUGUGGUAUUUCUCUCCUUUUACCCACCUCUCCAUCAAAAAAUAAAAUAAAAUAAAUAAAUAAAUAAAUAAAUAAAAAUCUCACACACACAUACUGAUUUCUAUGCUGUCAAAUCGUUUCGAUAUUAAGACAUUCAAAUCAGCUAUCGGCUGUAUUAGAUUUGAUCUAGAGUAUUGAAAGUUUUUUAAAAAAUAAAUUUUAUAAUUUUGUGAUAUUAUUUAUCUAUUAAUCGAAUGGAUCCAAAAUCAAUAAUUUUAAUGAUCGCAGUGAGUCAUUUGUAAGAUUAAGACCGUGUAGAAAUAUCAAAAUUAUAUAAAAUUUUGAUAGAAAUUUUUUUUAUACUAUAUAAAACAAAAUCAGUAUUUUUGAUCUAAAAUUUUAAUGUCCAAAUCACUUAAACUUUUAGAAAACAAGAUCACUAUUUUUUAUUUAAAAUUUUGGUGUCGUAUCGUCACUUUUUGUAAAAUUUUUAUUUCCAGCACUGAUUUUGAGCCUUUUCGCUUAAUAAGUAAAUGAUAUCGAAAAAUUGUAAAAUUUAUUUUUCGGUUAUUUCAAAUACUUUAGAUAAAAAAUAACGAAACUGAUCGUCGAUUAAUAAGUUCCACCAUAAAAAAUGAAUUGAGAGUACAAAAAUCACUUUUUCUAUAUUACAAUU